rnacentral:lncRNA from 1 species
CGUCGUCGUCAGCGAAGAUGCCGUCUUCUUCGACUGAGAAGUCGUCAGUAACCGCGACGUUACGGACGAAGCGAGAGGAAGCGGCGGAGAUGGAGAGGGAGAGGGAGGCGGAGAGGGAGUGGAGAUUGAAGGAGAGGGAAGGAGGUGAGAGGGAAGCGGAGGCGGGUCUGGAGAUGGAGAAAGGAAGGGACUUGGGGGUGAAGGUGGAGAGAGCGAGAGAGGAAGCUGAAGCAGCCAUGGUGAAGAGAUGAGAAGAGAUAAGGUUUGUUUUUAGCUUUAGGGGUUUUUUGAGAGUGGAGAUAAGAUGGUGUGUUUCUGAUAUUUAUGGGCCAAAUGGGAAUAAAUAUCUUUGCACAAAAUAUCUCAUUCUGAUUUUUAUUUACAAAAUUUGCCUCAAAACUUUAUUUUAUUGCUAAAUAUUCUGCUGCUAAUAAAAUUUGUCAAAUUUUGAUGAAUUUAUCUUAACGUCAUCUCUAAAAAAAGUAUGUAUUUAAAAAAAAUAUAGGUUUUCAUAAAUUUGUACACAAUUUUUUUAGAAAAUCUUAAUUUUCAAAAUAUUUUGUAUUUUCUCACUUUAGUGGUGUUAUCUUUAGUGAGAUGACAGAUGAGAUGAGAUCUAAGCCGUAGAGUUUUGGAUGGACAGUGGAGAUGGCACGUCUCAUGCCAAGGCCCCAAAAAUAUAAAAAAUCUAUAAGAUAGGAUAUUUUAACUAAAAGCCAAUGGAAUUAACAACUCUCGUUCCAGCACAGAUCUUUAACUCCAAUAAAUUCAGAAAACAAUACAGUUCCUUUAAAGAAAACCACUGAAUCAUACAAAGGUUGCUCCAUUCAAAACAAGUUAAUAAGAAACUAUUUAUUUGGAUAACAAUAGAAGACUGAAGUUCUUGAACUGCAAAACGCUUUUAGGAUCUCUUCAAUUGGAGGGUCAUCUCCAGCUUCUUUGUCCUGAAACGUUCCAACAAACAAGUUGUUGAGUACGAGAUUGUGAUUAAUUUACCCCUUUGAUUACAUUGACAUGGUGUAAACACAAGUAUUUGAUCAAAACGUGUUACCUGGUCCAUACUCCCCGGUCCGAUCAAAACAUGAGAAACACCAGAUGCAUCCAUCACAUGCUAAGAAAACCUCAAAUGUAUCACUUAAUGAAAUGAUCAAAACCACAUCAAGAUUUUGACAUUGUUGUUUUUACUCCGGGAAAGCCGAAAGAAAUAAGAAAAAUCCUAACUUUAAGUUUUAGUUAGAAAAAAAAAUCAAAUUAAAAAAAUCUCGUGGAGUGGAGUUAUUACACGUUGCAUAGAUGACGUAAGCAUUGUCCGAAACAGAAAAAGUCAAACGCCACGUAAGCUCAGUAAGGGUAAAAAGUUUUGGAAAGGUAGAUCCUUUUCUAAAAGCGAAUGUUCCUUCUUUGCACGUUCAAGCGAUCUCAAGCCGCUCCUCUCUCUCUCUCUCUAUCAUCUCUGAAAUGGCGAGAGUACUGCGUGUGGCGAGAUCCUCCUCCUCCCUCUUCAGCUUCGGAAGCAGAUCUUAUUCAGCCGAAGCUAGCCACGUGUCCUCUCCCCCUCCUCCGUUUCUUGGAGCUCGCAGAGACGUUACCAAGGAGAGAAACGUGCAGUGGGUGUUCCUCGGUUGUCCCGGUGUCGGGAAGGGGACUUACGCCAGCAGACUCUCGAGUCUCCUCGGUGUUCCUCACAUCGCCACCGGAGAUCUCGUCCGUGAUGCGCUAGCUUCUUCCGGACCUCUCUCCCGACAGGUUCUUGUUUCACUUUAUGUCCAAAUGAAUCCCAAAACGACGUCGUUUUCUGUUUAAAUCUGCUAAAAGUUCAUGUGUCUACCAACAGAUCUAAUGAACUAGUGUUUGUUUUGUCCUAACGGAUCUGAUCCUUUUUCUAAUAAUAGUCAACGGCUCUCUCCUCUUGCUUGUAUUGAGAUUCUUAUUACUUGAUUGCAGCUAUCAGAGAUUGUAAACCAGGGGAAGCUUGUUUCUGAUGAGAUCAUAGUGAACUUAUUAUCAAAGAGACUUGAAGCUGGUGAAGCCAAGGGCGAAUCAGGUUUCAUUCUUGAUGGCUUUCCUCGUACCAUGAGACAAGCUGUAAGUUAAUUCAUUGACUUCACAUCAUAUUGAGCAAAGUUUUGAAUGAUUAAUCUUUGUGUUUUCAGGAAAUAUUAGGAGAUGUCACUGACAUCGAUCUAGUGGUGAACUUAAAGCUACCUGAGGAGGUUUUGGUUGACAAAUGCUUAGGGAGGAGAACGUGUAAUCAAUGCGGUAAAGGUUUCAAUAUAGCUCACAUCAACUUAAAGGGUGAGAAUGGGAAACCAGGAAUCAGCAUGGAUCCACUUCUCCCUCCACCUCAGUGUAUGUCAAAGCUCAUCACUCGUGCUGAUGAUACUGAGGAGGUUGUGAAAGCUAGGCUCCGUAUUUACAAUGAAACCGUAAGUCCUCUUUCUCUCUCUCUAUUGUUCUUCCCAUUUUAGCGAUGCUUGAUGCUUUGAAUGAUGUGUGCAGAGCCAGCCUCUUGAAGAGUACUACCGUAUCAAGGGAAAGCUGAUGGAGUUUGACUUACCUGGAGGCAUCCCUGAGUCUUGGCCAAGGCUGUUAGAAGCUUUAAGGCUUGAUGAUUACGAGGAGAAGCAAUCUGCCGCGGCGUAGUUCAACUACAACUCCGGUUUAUAAUUCUUUGCAUGUGGAAGACAUGUGCCUAUAUCAGUUUUGUGUUGGAAAAUAAAGAAAACCUUAGAUUGUUUUUUUUUAUUGCCUCAGAUCAGAAUAAUCAUCAUCAUACACACUUUGCAAACUAUAUGAUGUAUCAUGAUUGUUUAUGAGUUUGCUAGUUACAGGAAUGUAUAAACACUUUGGUACACUUUUGAUUAUUUAUUGUUGAAUGUGAUCAAUGAUUGUUUAUGAGUUUGCUAGUUACAUUACAUGAAUGUAUCAAUACUUACACUGCUUGUUACACAUCAGGUUUGAUGUUUGGGCUCUUGUGAUUAGUUUGUUUAUUGUUGAAUGUGUGUGAUAAUAUUGCGGCUGGCCGAGCUGGCUGGUUAAAGAACACAACCAGACAGUAAAGUAAAACAGUCGCAUACAUUAAAGAUUUUGUGGAACGUAUAACCAGCUCCUGUCUGUCCUAGAAUUGGCGGUUCGGGAUAGAACUGUUCCUUACAUACUGGAACUUCCAGUAGAAUUUGAUGCUAAUUGUUGGUCCUAAACUAGUGUGUAUCAGUUGCUAUGUGAUCUCAUAACUGGACCUUAUCUUAUGGUUUGUGCUUGAGGUUUCUGAGAAAUCGCUGGGUUCAUUUGAUUCUUCUGGUUUGACAAUUAGUUUCUUGUUAUGGACACGGUGAAAUCAGACUCAAAUCGGUGGAAUAAGACAGCCUCAAAGAAGGCAGACAUAAUCAUGUUUGCUCUUGAUUCAUCUUCAAUCUCAACAGGACAUUAAAAUCAAUUUGUAGCUUUAUUUUGUUAGUAUAUAGAUUUGAUGAAAUAAACAACCUUUAAAUUAUAAAUAUAAAGAUGAAAAUAUUCUUAAACAUGAAACCGUUUUGAUCAAGAUUCAAAAAAAACUUCAUUAAAAGAUAGGGACAUCUUCUGAAACAUAUCCAAAAAGCUCUAAUGAAAAACAGCAAGAUAAGGUCUUUGAGAUGUAAUGCAAACUCAAGGCCUAGGAAGAUCCUCCUUAACGGUUGGCCUUCGCAACUCUCUCAAUCUCAUCCUUCUUCUUGAUGGCAUAGCUGCAAAAAAACAAGACAAGAUGCUAUUAGUAUUUAGCAACAAACAAACACAAUUUGUGAACCCGCUUUAAGAGACAAGACAAUGUAAAGAUGUUUACCUGUUGGAAGAUCCCUUGGCAGCAUUGAUGAGCUCAUCAGCAAGGCACUCAGCGAUUGUCUUGAUGUUUCUAAACGCAGCUUCACGUGCACCAGUGGUGAGCAAGAAGAUGGCUUGGUUCACACGUCUUAGAGGAGAGAUAUCAACAGCCUGCCUCCUAACCACACCAGCAGAUCCAAUCCUCGUCGCAUCCUCACGUGGACCACUAGCUCACCAAUAAAACACACACAACAUUAGAAAAAAAGGUUUCUAGUAACACGCAAUAAAGAAUGCAACAUUGUUGUCUUACCUGUUGACAAUGGCAUCAAUGAUAACCUGAAUAGGGUUCAAGUCAGUCAAGAGAUGGAUGAUCUCCAUGGCGUGCUUGAUGAUCCUCACAGCCAUCAGCUUCUUUCCGUUGUUCCUUCCGUGCAUCAUGAGAGAGUUCGUGAGCCUCUCAACGAUUGGGCACUGAGCCUUCCUGAACCUCUUCACAGAGUAUCUUCCAGCAGUGUGGGGGACAAAGGUCGCGUGCUUAGCAGGCUGAACACCAAUGUAGUCAACAAGACUAAUGUCUGUGACCUACCCAUUCACAAAAAAAAAAAACACAAGAUCAACAAAACAAAUACUAAGAACAUAGCCAUUGUUGCCAAUUUAAAUUUUAGAGAUCUAAUAUUCAAAAACAAACCAAACAACACAGAAAGUGUUGGACUUUAAGACAAAGAAACAUCAGGAUCAACCAAGUGUACUGAGACAAUAAAACAUGAAUUGAAAAUUAACAAAAAUAAAAACAAAAAGAGGACAUUUUUUCCGACAUAACUCCAUGAGUUAUAUCUAAUUCAGACAAUGUAACUAUUUUUUUGUAAUAGACCAAUCAUUUCAUUGUAGAAUUAGAUCCUAUAAAGAUUGCAAAUGAGCUAUCGUAAACUUACCGAAACGUCAUCAAAGCUCCAGCGAUUGAAGAGCUUGACCUCGUUGGUAAGCUGCUGCUGAAUCUCAGCGUCAAUCUCAACGGCGGCGGCCAUGGCUGGAAACACCAAACAAAAGCUUAGCCACAAGCACACACGCAAACCAGAGAAUCGAAGAUGAAGAAGAAAUCAAUACCUCAAACUCGUAAGCGUCGUGNNNNNNNNNNNNNNNNNNNNNNNNNNNNNNNNNNNNNNNNNNNNNNNNNNNNNNGCGUCGUGUGGAGAUGAGACGGGACUAGGUUUAGCUGCAGCUACUGCUUGAAGAAGGUGGUGAGAAGAAACAAAAACCCUAAUUUUACUAGAGUAUAGGGUUUUUAAAAUGGAUUUUAUUGGGCCCAAUGGGCUUUUCGUAAGGCCCAGUCCAAGUCGUUAUACCAUAAGUCUUUAGAGCAUACUAGAAAGAGAGCAUUCAAUGCGGGAUGUCGACUUGCUAGCUCUCGUCCAUGCACCGUCCGUCGCCAUCAAUCCGUGAGUUUUUAUCGGUUUUUGUUCAAUGACUCCAACGAACUUUGAAAGAUUUGCCCACUCUUCCUUGCAAAUUAAUCACGAGAUCAUCGCCUUGUACUUGUUACUCCAUUUUGUCGUAUUAUCAUAUUUACUUGUUACUCCAUAUUGUCGUAUUAUCAUAUUUUUAUAAGAUAUUCACUAACAGUAACAGAUAAGUCAUUCUUAUCCUAAAGUCAUUUUAAUUCAGAGACGACAAAAUUUAGGAAAAAUAAAUUCUAGAUGAUUUAUCGAAAAAUAUUUGUGUGUAAUGUUAUAGUCAGUUAACUUAAUUCGUUUGCAAUUUCUAGGAAUAAAAAUAUGACAGUCUAAUUCGUUAAAUUAGUAUACUUUCCCAAAAAGACAAAUAAUACAAGCUGAUCUUGAAGAAUCAAUAAAUUAAUGUGAAAAUGAUAGACAAUGAACGUGAAGAUUGCUUGAGAUAUGAUAAGAUACUUUCAAUGCUCCCGACAAGAAAAGCAUUAAUUUGGACUCGUUGAUGCAUGGGGUAGAUAAGAGUGGACAGGGGAGCUUGCAGAGAUUGGAAACAAGUAUGGGGGAUCGAGUUUCAAGAGCAUCUCCUCAAGAAAUGAACAUGAGGAUGAGAACAUUUCUCGUCGACACACAAACUGCUAAGAUAAACUAUUGUGGUAAGAUAGAAUAUAUGUACCACAUCAAUGUCCUAGCUAAGAAUAGAUACCACAGCAAUGUUCUAGCAAAGCAAUAUUGUCGAAAGUUUGUUCAUCUAUAAUUUUCUUUUCCUUUUAAUUAAUUAAGAUGGGUGCAAUUUUUGCCUAGCAACACUAGAAUAUAGAAUAUGGACCACUUAUGUAAUUUAAGCAUGCAUAAUGGCACACUAUAAGUACUAGCUUUUAAAUAAAUAAAGUGAUCCUUCAAUUAAUUAGGUAUUUCAUAUUCUCAAAGUAAGUUAGGUAAUAAUACUUUAAUUUCCACACUUUCUUGACCCAAUAAAACUCCCCAAUAUAUUAUUUGUAGUCUACUUUUUUUUAUUAAAUUUGUAGAUAUUGUUAGAGGAAUAUAGUAUGUUUUCUUUUGAAUUAUUAUCUCUUUUUAUUUAUUUUUAUUUCAAAUAAUAAGUUUGUUUAUUUUUAAGAAGAAUAUCCUACCUCUAGUCAAUUCAAAUUGUUUGUUUCCGACCAUAUUCCAAUCAUGGUAAAUUACCCAAAAAGAACACAAAAUAAUGACGUUGAGACACUCUCAAAAGUUAGCACGUAACAAUUGUAGUAGUGAAAAGACGUCUAAGCAUAUUAAAUAUAUUUACACUUUGAAGACAAAUGCAUAUCUCAUUAUUGACUAUUCAUCAGAUAAGAAGCCAAGAGAGUACUCACUGAGACAUGAGUGGUGAUGAUUUGAGAAUGGAGCUUGCAGAGAUUGGAAAAAGCAUGGGGUCGAGUUUCAGGAGCAGCUCCUCAAGAAACGAGGAUGAGGCAGAGCAUGCUCUGCAGUGGGCUGAGAUCCAAAGAUUACCUAGUUUCAAACAACUGAGAUCAUCUCUGGUCGAUGAAGAAGGGGAUGAUGUGGAGAAAGGGAAAAGGGUCGUUGAUGUCACCAAGCUUGGAGCCAUGGAACGUCGUCUGAUGAUUGAGAAGCUGAUCAAACACAUUGAGAAUGACAAUCUCAAGCUGCUCAAGAAAAUUAGAAGAAGAAUAGACAGGUAUAUGUGAAAACAAAGAAACAAACCUUGUGAAUCUUGAACUGAGUUGUUACUUUGCAGGGUUGGUGUGGAGCUUCCAAGCAUAGAGGUGAGGUAUAAGCAUCUAAGUGUUGAAGCAGAAUGUGAGGUCGUUGAAGGGAAGGCGCUUCCAACUUUAUGGAAUUCUUUGAAGCACAUUUUCUUAGUGAGUAUACUUGAGAAUAUAAUGCAUUUUGCCAGUAGGUAGUAAAUUGUUGUGAACAAACGCGAAUUAACUUCAAAGAAAACAAAAAAAACUUGAAAAGAACAAAGCACGAUUGAGGCAAAUAUCAUUUUAAAAUUUGUAUAUUGAUUAUGUGAAUAAUUAAAUCUACAACAACUUAGACAGUUGUUAACAUAACUAGUAUUGAACUAUACUUUUUUCUUCUUUAGGAGUUGGUAAAGCUGAGUGGUGUAAGAACACAUGAAGCCAAGAUAAGCAUACUUAACGAUGUUAGCGGCAACAUUAACCCUGGAAGGUAGCUUUUGAUCCAAGCUUUGAGUUAGUGUGUAAUGCACGCAACUAAUGCUCUCUUCUUGUUGCUCCAAGGUUAACACUGCUGCUUGGUCCUCCUGGAUGUGGAAAAACUACUCUGCUCAAGGCUUUGUCCGGAAACUUGGACAAGAAUCUAAAGGUUUUCAGACUUUGUUUCAAUCUGAUUCUCAUGAUGCAGAUGUGUAAACCACAGAACUCUUUUGUUUUCCACAGAUUUCUGGUGAAAUCUCUUACAAUGGACACGGUCUAAACGAGUUUGUUCCUCAGAAGACAUCCGCUUACAUAAGCCAACACGAUCUGCACAUUGCGGAGAUGACUGUUAGGGAGACAAUAGACUUCUCAGCUCGUUGUCAAGGUGUUGGUAGUCGAACAGGUAAGAUGUCUUCUGAAGCAUCCGCUAAACUAUUUGCUGAAACAGAUAUAUCAAUUUUCUCUGUACCAAUGUUCAAAAAGUUGUUUGGCUAUAACUAUGCAUUUUAUAGAGGACUACCGAUUAGAUUGAUUAUUCGGGGCAGUGCUAACGAAAUAUUGAUUUGUUUUAUAUAUUUUUUACAUUUUUAUAUGAUAUUUUUUGGCUUUAAUUAUAAAACUAUUUUGAUGAAUUGUAAAAAUUAAAUAUACAAAAUAAAACAAAUUAGAAAAAUCUGUGGAUUUGCACUAACAUAAUUGGUUAAUUUAGAUUGAUUUAAACCAAUUUUAACUGAUUUAGAACAAUUCAAACCGAUUUGAAUCAUGCUCUAUACUAUUGGCUGAAACAGAUAUUAUGAUGGAGGUCAGUAAAAGAGAAAAGGAUGGUGGAAUCAUUCCUGACCCUGACGUAGAUGCUUACAUGAAGGUCCCAUUCCAUAAGCUAAUCUUUUAAGAGGGAUGAUUAUAAAACCUUUUGUUAAUCCCAUUGUGCAGGCUAUAUCGGUUAAUGGACUUAAAAGAAGUCUACAAACAGAUUACAUCUUGAAGGUAAUUUCUCUGACAACAACUCAGACUUGUAAUCCUUGUUGAUUAGCUUCUUGAUUAUGUCAUGUAUUUGCAAUUUGCAUUUCUUUUUCUUCAGAUCCUAGGGCUUGACAUAUGUGCAGAAACAUUGGUUGGUAAUGCCAUGAAAAGAGGCAUAUCUGGUGGUCAAAAGAAGCGUCUUACUACAGGAGAGAUGAUCGUUGGUCCAACAAAAGCUCUGUUUAUGGAUGAAAUCACAAACGGCUUAGACAGCUCCACAGCGUUUCAGAUAGUUAAGUCACUUCAGCAGCUGGCUCACAUCACCGACGCAACUGUGUUUGUUUCCCUUCUUCAGCCUGCUCCAGAGUCAUAUGAUCUCUUUGACGAUAUUGUCUUGAUGGCUGAAGGAAAAAUAGUUUAUCAUGGUCCAAGAGGCGAGGUCUUGAGGUUCUUUGAAGAGUGUGGGUUUAGAUGCCCAGAGAGGAAAGGUGUUGCAGACUUUCUACAAGAGGUAAGAAGCCAAGUUUAUGUUCCUUGACACUUACGUUUUGUUCUGAGUUGUUUUUGUUUUGCAGGUUAUAUCUAGGAAGGACCAAGGACAGUACUGGCUGCACCAGGACAUACCCUAUACCUUUCUCUCAGUAGACGCGUUGUCCAGGAGAUUCAAGGAGUUAGAGAUUGGGAGAAAGAUUGAGGAUGCUCUCUCUAAGCCCUAUGAUAAUUCAAAAACCCACAAGGAUGCUCUCUCUUUCAGUGACUAUUCUCUUCCAAAGUGGGAGCUGUUCAGAGCAUGCAUCUCAAGAGAGUUUCUAUUAAUGAAGAGAAACUCUUUCGUCUACCUCUUCAAGACGUUUCAGGUUACAUUCUUCGUUCCUUGUGUCUUCUUUCAAUGUUCUAGGGUUAGGUCUAAAGAAACCCUUCUUGCCCUUUAUGUUUUGCAGCUUGUUCUGUCAGCAAUCCUCACUAUGACAGUUUUUAUUAGAACACGUAUGGGUGUAGAUAUCAUUCAUGGAAACUCUUACAUGAGUUGUCUCUUUUUCGCAACCGUUGUGCUUUUGGUGGAUGGUUUGCCAGAGCUGUCUAUGACUGUUCAACGUCUUGCCGUGUUCUACAAGCAAAAGCAACUUUGUUUCUAUCCAGCUUGGGCUUAUGCAAUCCCUGCAACCGUGUUAAAGAUCCCUCUCUCUUUCUUCGAAUCUCUCGUUUGGACUUGCCUUACUUACUACGUCAUUGGAUACACUCCUGAAGUCUCUAGGUAAGAAGAACUCUAUAACCAUCUCUUGCUUGCUCCCUACUCAAACGAUUAUGGAAAGUAAUGGUUACUUGGUGUUUUUAGGUUCUUACGUCAGUUCAUGAUGCUCUUUGCUGUUCACUUCACAUCCAUAUCCAUAUUCCGAUGUAUAGCUGCAAUCUUUCAGACAGGAGUUGCUUCAAUGGCAGCUGGUAGUUUCGCCGUAUUAAUCACCUUUGUGUUCGCCGGUUUCGCCAUCCCAUACAGUAAGACUUUUGCACUCUUUCUUCAUUUCAGUCUUGUUCCAAACUUCCAUCAAAACAUGACCAGGGCCGGAUCUAGGCACAGCCCAAUAAAACAUCGGUCUCGGUCCCUAAAUUUUUUGAAAUUUUUAGUACGAAUAAACCCCUAAACUAUAGAAAAAAAAAAUUGUUUUACUAAGAUUUUUAAAUGUUUCAAGCUCCCAAAAUCUCAUAUCCGGCCCUGAACGUGACAUUGGUUUUGUUGCUGCAGCUGAUAUGCCAGGGUGGCUGAAAUGGGGAUUCUGGGUGAAUCCUAUAGGUUACGCAGAGAUUGGGCUCUCUGUAAACGAGUUUCUUGCUCCGAGAUGGCAGCAAGUAAGUAUCUCAUCUUUUUACAUACUUCUCUUCAUCAUUCUUACAAGACUAAUCAAGUUUUUCUUGUUAUGUUUUGUAGAUGCAACCAACGAAUGUUACAUUGGGGAGAACCAUACUUGAAAGCAGAGGACUGAACUAUGAUGAUUACAUGUACUGGGUCUCAUUAUGUGCCUUGCUGGGACAGACUCUCCUCUUCAAUACUAUUUUCACUCUAGCUUUGAGUUUCUUGAAAUGUAAGUUACAAAAUAUCGAAAAAUAUGCCAUGGACUAAAGCAUAAACUGAAGAGCUUCUUUUUUAACAGCUCCCACUACAUCUCGCGCUAUGAUCUCCAAAGACAAGCUCUCUGAGCUGCAAGGAACAAAAGAUUCAUCACUCAAUAAGAACAAGAAGGCAAUAGAUUACACAGAAGAUUCAGGUGAAACAUAUAUGUCUUUCUUGUCAUACAAGCAAACUCUUUAUUCUCAGUUUAGCUUUAUUGACCUAAUUCAUUCAGCAGGGAAGAUGGCCUUACCUUUUAAGCCUCUCACCAUAACAUUUCAAGAUUUGAACUACUACGUUGACGUUCCUGCGGUAAAAUCUUCUCCUCCCCAUCCUUGGAUCUUAACCAUCUUCAUAUGCAAACAUGAUCAUCAAAGGACGUUUUGACUAAUCUUAGGAGAUGAGAGUUCAAGGAUACAAUGAGAAGAAACUGCAGCUUCUCUCAGAUAUCACCGGAGCUUUCAGACCAGGCGUUCUAACAGCGUUGAUGGGGAUCAGUGGAGCCGGAAAAACAACUCUACUCGACGUUCUCGCCGGAAGAAAAACAAGCGGAUACAUCGAAGGAGAGAUCAGAAUCAACGGAUACUUUAAAGUCCAAAAAACCUUCGCAAGAGUCUCAGGCUACUGCGAGCAAACAGAUAUACACUCACCAAACAUCACCGUCGAGGAGUCUCUAAUCUACUCAGCUUGGCUCCGUCUAGUUCCAGAAAUAGAUCACAAAACCAAAAUAGUAAGCCGGCCCUAGUGAUUCUAAAAAAGGCAAGAAUGACCUAGAAAGUAACUUGACUGAAAAGAAACUCGUUGCAGAGAUUCGUGAAGGAAGUUCUUGAGACGAUAGAGCUGGAGGAGAUCAAGGACGCGAUGGUGGGAGUCCCCGGCCAGAGCGGGCUGUCGACGGAGCAGAGGAAGAGGUUGACGGUGGCGGUGGAGUUGGUGGCGAAUCCUUCGAUCAUAUUCAUGGACGAGCCGACGACGGGGCUGGACGCAAGAGCAGCAGCCAUUGUGAUGAGAGCUGUGAAGAACGUUGCGGAGACUGGACGUACCAUUGUGUGCACUAUUCAUCAGCCUAGUAUCGAUAUUUUUGAAGCCUUCGACGAGGUACAUAUGUUUUUCAAAUAUGAAAAGUAUUUAUAGUGGUUUUGUUUUAAAAGAAUACUCUCACAUGUAUUAUAUUAACAUUUUAUCCAAAAGUAGAUAUAAGAGAUUUUUUUUCUUCAAAAUAGCCUUUAUCAAAAAUUUGAAAAUUAUAGAAUAAUUGAGUUUAGGGUUUAAAAGGGAUGGGUGAGAUUAGGUUUUAUAAAUUAAAGUAACUUAAUUUUUUUUAUUUAAAUGAGUGUGUUUUGAAGAUCUGUUAGUGUUAUAUUUGUGAUAAACUUUAAAAGUGCUAUUUUGGAGUUUUGACUAUUUUGUGGAUAAUUAAGAAGAAAUUUCUUAUAACAUAUUGUUUUUAUUACAUGUUCAGUUGGUACUUCUGAAGAGAGGAGGUCGCAUGAUUUACACUGGACCACUUGGACAACAUUCUUCUCAUGUCAUACAGUAUUUUGAGGUUAGCGUGUUAUACAAGAAAAUGAGCCAGUUUAGUUUCUAUGACUUUUUCAAUGUUUUAACGAAAUAAUUAACUAUGUAUAUUUUUGUUAUUUGGGGUUAAUGAACAGAGUAUCUCUGGAGUUGCUAAGAUUAAAGACAACUACAAUCCAGCAACAUGGAUGCUAGAGGUCACUUCACAGUCUGUAGAGAUUGAACUCAACAUGGAUUUUGCAAAAAUCUACAAAGAAUCUGCUCUCUACAAGUGAGCUGAAUAUCUCAAAAACAACUGAAACCUUGUCAUUUAUUACGAGCUCAUGUGUUUUCUCUGUAGCAGGAGCAACUAUGAGCUUGCUCAGGAGCUGAGCAAACCGGAUCCCGGGUCAAGCGAUUUACAUUUCGAGAGAACUUUUGCGCAGAGCUGGUGGGAACAGUUCAAAUCUUGUCUAUGGAAGAUGAGCUUGUCUUACUGGAGAAGCCCUGCUUACAACUUGAUGCGAAUCUUUCACACUUUAGUCUCUUCUUUGAUCUUUGGUUUACUCUUCUGGAAGCAAGGUCAAAAGAUGUAAGUUAGUUGCAUAAAAUACAUUCAAAUCAUCAUUAGAGCAUGUUCAUUAGUGAGACCCUUAAGUGUCUCUUAAGUGGGGUUUAAUAAUUUUUUAACUAUUAAAUUUAAUAUAAGAGAUUUUGUUAAGAAACACUUAAUUAUAGUGGUUUAUUGGUGGUUUCUUAAUUAAGGUGCUUAACAAAUAAAAAAAUAUUAAACUUUUUUUAAACAUAAAAUUUUAAACAAAGAUUAAUUUUAUUUAUUAAAUAAAACAAAGUCAAACAUAACAUUUUAAACAUAGAUUUUAAAAUAAAAAAAAUUAAAACAUUAAAACAAAGAUUACUAAAAUAAACAAUACUAAUUUUAAAGCGGCAUCCAAGUUCAGUUGUUGUGUUGAUCACGUCCAAAUUUAUGCCAUAUAUGUUCAACCAAAUCACCUUUCAGUUGUUGAUGCGCUUGUCUAUCACGAAUUCUUGUUCGAACACCCAUCUGAUUGGCGAUAUUUGUAGGGAUAUCUGUAGAAUAUGUUAAAUCUACAUAUGAACUUCUGCUGCCUUCGCCUUGUUGGAAUCCCGAGACAUCAAACUAACUGCAUUCAUCCCGUUCGUUUUCUACUAUCAUAUUAUGGAGUAUGAUACAUGCUCUCAUAAUCUUCCCAAUCUUGACUUUAUCCCAACAAAGUGCUGGAUUUUUAACAAUGGCAAAUCGAGCUUGCAAGACUCCGAAAGCACGCUCGACAUCUUUUCGGGCAGCUUCUUGAUGUUGAGCAAAUAAAACUGCUUUCGGCCCUUGUGGAAGUGAAAUAGAUUGGAUGAAAGUUGCCUAUUUCGGAUAAAUUCUAUCGAUCAGAUAGUAAGCCAAAUCAUACUCUUUUCCGUUGACUGAGAAAUUCACUUGCGGGGCUUGACCAUUUAUGAUGUCAUCAAAAACAGGUGAGCGAUCUAGAACAUUAAUAUCAUUUAAGGUACCUGGAGGUCCAAAAAACGUAUGCCAUAUCCAGAGAUCAUAUGAAGCAACCGCCUCUAAAACUAUUGUGGGUUUCCCCGAACCACGAGAAUAUUGCCCUUUCCAAGUGGUGGGACAAUUCUUCCACUCCCAAUGCAUACAAUCGAUGCUUCCUAUCAUCCCGGGAAAUCCACGAACCUCUCCAAUAUAAAGUAGACGUUGAAGGUCAUCCGGUGUUGGUCUUCUUAGGUACUCAUCGCCGAACAAAUUUAUGAUUGCUUCCACAAAAUUUUCCACACAUAACCGAACAGUGGUUGCACCGAGCCUGAGGUAUUCGUCGACCGCAUCAAGCGCAGAACCAUAUGCCAACACACGAAUAGCUGCUGUACACUUUUGAAGCGGGGAGAGACCUUGCCUUCCGGUAACAUCCUUCUUCUGACGAAAGAAUUGGACUUCGUUGGAGAGGCGAUCAACAAUAUACAUGAACAAAGGCUUGUUCAUUCUAAAUCGACGUCGGAAUAGAUUUGCUGGAUAUGUCGGCGCGUCACUGAAAUAAUCAUUCCAUAACCGGAGAUGGCCUUCUUCACGAUUUCUUUCAAUAAAAACUCUCUUUUUCUUUUUCUUCCUUUGAUCUUGUUGAUCACCAUAAACAUUGCACAAAUUCUCAAAUGUUUGUUCGAAAGUCUGAUCAAAAUAUUUAUCGAACAUUUCAUCAAAUGACUCAUCCAAAUCAAAUGACUCAUCCGAGAUGUGAUUUGAAGACGAAGCCAUGAAAGACUUGAUUUCGAAAAUUUAAGAAUGGUGAGUGUGUGAACGUGAGAUGAAAAAGAGAAGGAAGAGAGAACAAAGAGAACCGAGAGAAUGAGAACGUAGAGAAUUGUGAGUAUGAUCAGUUUUUAUUUUACAAAGAGAAUGAAGAACCGAGAGAAGAACAUGAGACUAUAGAGAUAGAGAAUGGUAAGAGAGAAUGGUGAUUUCUUUACGCUCUCAGCACAAACAUUUUAUAACCGUCACCGUUAGAGAGAGAGAGCUCGCCGUUGUCCAUCGUCGACGAGAGAAACCCAUAGAAACGUCGACAAGCUCAACGGAGAGGGAGAGAGAGGAAACGCCGUUUCGUCGACGAGAUCACCGAGACAGAGAGAGAGAGAGAGAGAGGAAUCACCUUUUCGUCGAGGAGAGCACCGACAGAGAGAGAAAGAGCUCGCCGUUGUCCAUCGUCGACGAGAGAAACCAAUAGAGACGUCGACGAGCUCAACGGAGAGGGAGAGAGAGGAAACGCUGUUUCGUCGACGAGAUCACCGAGACAGAGAGGGAGAGAGAGAGGAAUCGCCUUUUCGUCGAGGAGAGCACCGACAGAGAGAGAAAGAGCUCGCCGUUAUCCAUCGUCGACGAGGAAUAUCCAUAGAGACGUCGACGAGCUCAACGGAGAGGGAGAGAGGAAUCGCCGUUGUCGUCACUCUUGCGGAGCAACCGAGAAGAGAAAGGAAAGAGAGAAAGAAACAAGAACGACUUCACCGUUCGGAGAGCCAAUAACGACGUGACACGUCGCCCAAAUUACCGUGUCUUCGAGCACUUAAUUAGGGGACGUCCCUUGGCUUUAUUUCGUGUUUUCCAUUUUUUUUUAUGAUUAAUUAAGUUAAGGGACAUGCUUAAGAGCUGCCUUUGAACAUGCUCUUACAUUCCUAGUAAAGAACUGUCUCACACAUUAGGAAAGUACUAUUUUAUUUCAAAAAUAGCACACAAGAAUAUUUUUUUCCAAAAGAGUAUUAACUAAAAGUAUAUGGGUGUGGAUUUAGUGAUUAUGAUUUAGGGUUUAAUAUUUAGAGAGUGGAGUUAGGGUAAGAGUUUAGGAUACAGAGUAAUUUAGUCAAUUUAAUCUUUAACUAAUUAUAGUUUGAGAAUUUUUCUCUUAUGUUCUAUUUUUGUCAUAAUUGUUUGUAUUUUUUUUUUUUUGGCAGAGAUACUCAACAGAACUUGUUCACAGUUCUUGGAGCCAUCUAUGGCCUUGUGAUAUUCUUGGGGGUAAACAACUGCACUUCAGCUUUACAGUAUUUUGAGACAGAGCGUAACGUUAUGUACCGCGAAAGAUUCGCUGGAAUGUACUCUGCCUUUGCCUUUGCACUGGCUCAGGUUGUGACCGAGAUUCCUUACAUUUUCAUCCAAAGCGCAGAGUUUGUGAUCAUAAUAUAUCCUAUGAUGGGUUUAUACGGAUCUGCCUAUAAAGUCUUUUGGAGUCUCUACUCAAUGUUCUGCAACUUACUCUCCUUCAACUACUUAGCAUUGUUCCUCAUCUCCAUCACUCCAAACUUCAUGCUCGCAGCUAUUCUCCAGUCUCUUUUCUUCGUUGCUUUCAACCUUUUUGCUGGAUUCUUGAUUCCACUACCGGUAAGUUCUUUUUGUAACAAGUCAUUAUAUACCAUUAUCAUCAUCGUUGAUCUUUACCUAUAGUUAAUAGUGUUUUUCCUUGAUGUUGAAACAAUGCAGCAAAUACCAAAGUGGUGGGUGUGGCUUUACUAUCUAACACCUCCCUCUUGGAGUCUCAAUGUGUUUUUCUCGUCUCAGUACGGUGAUAUUCAUCAAGAGAUCAAUGCAUUUGGAGAAACCACGACCGUGGCGAGAUUCUUAGAGGACUAUUUUGGAUUCCAUUAUGAUCGUUUGAUGACUUCAGCCAUUAUUCUCAUAGCGUUUCCAGUUGCAUUGGCUUCUAUGUUUGCUUUCUUUGUUGCCAAACUCAACUUUCAGAAACGAUGAUCCAUCACACACCAACCAAAGGUUUGAAACACCAAAGGGUAGUUUACAAAUUACUGUAUGGACAUGCACGUAUUCGUUGUCACACUAUUUGUAAACACUAAACAAAUGCAAAAUUUAUUUAUAAAAUCAUAAGAAAGUUGGAUAUACUCUAAUGCAUCAAAAUAAAUAGGUCUACAACAUAAUAGUAACUCUCUUAUUUUUUUACCAUAGAGAAAUGAUCUACGGCUGAAUACUUCAAAUAUUAAUUAGUAUACUGCUUCAUGCAAUUGAAAUGAAUAGUAAAGUAUACUGCUUCCUUUAUUCAGGCACAUCAUAAUUUUCAAGAAGAAACGUCAUUUUCUUUCUUUGAUCACAAAAGACACAAGAAGAAAGAGACAUGUGUGUGUCUUGUCGUCCUCCCCAUCUCUACUAACACUUUGAAUUUAAUACUGUCAAACUCAAAGGUCUCCUAAAGCCUAAUUAAUCCCUUUAUGAUCACAUGCCCUUCUCCUUCCUCUCUCUCUCUCCAUUCUCCUAGUACCCAUCAAGAACUUCCACAAAAGUAUUAAACUGUAGCUUCAGGAUCCAACCUCAGAGAAACGGUUCUCAAUCAAGGUUAUUUGAGUAUUGGAUAUUCUUGAUUCUUGAACUCAGGAAAAGUCAUUACUAGCCUGUGAUUCUGCUUCAUGACUUGAGGUUGAAGCAACAACACUUUCUUCACCAGAAGAAACAUCUUUGAUCUUUGAACUUAACUCUUCUUUUUCUUCUUCCACGGAGGCAACAUUUUCAGUUUCUUGAUCAAUGUUUUCUUCCUCAACAAAUCCAUUUCCAUGAGUUUCUUUUUCCUCUCCUUCUUCCUUGGAAGCUGAGGUGGAAACCGAUGAUAAACAAGAAACUUCAGAUGAACUCAACUGCUCUGAUCCUUCAGAACUGCGAGACCCUUUUAUGGAUUCAAGCUUUUUCAUCAGAAACUUUAGUCUCUUCUCUGCUUUCUCCCUUAAUCUGAUCUCUUCUUUCAGAUUUUUCUCCAGCUCUUCCAUCUGUUUCCAAGAGAUUAAAGGUUUUCUUUGAAACAAAAAUCAGCUUAUUACCAAACAAAGAUUAAAAAAAAUAAAAAUAACAGAGCAAAUGAAUUUACAAGUAACAAGAAUGACUCUUUUCUUGGUUGUUGAUUAAACCCAAAUCUUCAAAAAAGUAGUGAGAAAAAGGCAUUUCUUAAACAAGAAUGAUGAUACUAAGGAUUUUAUGAAACUUACCUUUCUGGUAAUGAGGUCUGCUUCAUCUUUUACAGACCUUGAAACUUGCCUCUCUGCAAGCAGUCUCCCUCUUAGACACUCCACAGUUCUCAGAUUUCCCUUCUCUUCUCCUUCCUCCAUCUUCUUACUUGCAAAAUUUGUUCUUAAACAAAAAAAAAGAAGAUAAAAAUCAAUUCCUCAUAUACACUCUCUACAUAGAACUUUCUUAAAAUCACACAAUACGACAUAUACAUGUAUAUAAAGAGAAAGAGAAACCUGCAUUUCGUGUUGUAAUUGAAGGGAUCAAUUGUCAUACUGUUCUUUAUAUAUUCAAAAACCAGAACCAGAUUGGUAAAAGCUUGUAAAGCUCAACUUCUCACCUAACUGCAAAAAGGGUAAACUAAAAAUAAUAAGACAGUUAAGACCAAUGUGUUGUUAGAUUGAUGUCACUAUGAUUUACAUUUAUUGUUCAUUCAGUAAGAGGAACAUAUCAACAUCAUAUCUUAAAAACCAACUUACCACGACACAGUCGACACUCUUCUUUAACAAAAAAAAAAAAAAAAUCUCAAGUUCAAAUAGUAAAACAGAUCCAGUUUCAAAUUCAAACCCCCUCACUUGGUAGAGAAGAGUGAAAUGAACUUAAAACCACAAAAGUUUUGAAGUUCUCCUGAAAAGAAGAACAGAAUCUGUGGUGUAGGGACAUGUUGUAAGCAAAACGACAGUGUGGGAUUGGACUUUUGUUACCUUCUCGUGAGUUGGUUGGUAACUCUCCCACUUCAAGACCUUUUUUAUGGUUAAUAAAUUUAACUUCUUACUACAAGGUUAGUUUUAUAUUAUAUGAUACCGCAAAUAUGCAUGUGAACAAGAGGAGUCAUCCUAUUUGUUAAUAUUAAACCAUAUUGCUAUACAAUUUUAGUUUUACCAAGUGUCACAGAUCCCUUCGUCAACAAUAUCACAACAAUACAAAAACAACAUUUCUUGGCCACACAGAAAGUUAAUGCUCCCAAGUCCCAACCUCUCGCUAUAAUUUUACUAAAUAGUUUGUGUUAAUUUUCUUUUUCAAAUUAGAUAAUUAGUUACCAACACGCAAAGAAAACAUUCGAGUGAUUAAGAGCUCACUUGUACUUCACUCAAAGAUCAAAGUAAUUACCAUAACCCUUUUAAUCAAACUAUACUUAUUUUGUGAAGCAACCUAAUGAAUAUAUUCUUGUUCUUAUUAGGAACCCCGCCACUUCAAUCCAAGCCACUUAGUAACUCUCAAGUUAUAGCGAGCUUGGGUAUGAUCUUACCGAUCAUUCAAAGUUAUGUUCACUGACAACAAUAAAAACUACAUAUCAUGAAAAGCAAAAUCAUUACACAUAAACUCUUUUAGAAGCCCCACAAGAAACCCUUUUGAACUCAUUCGACUUCACGGCAAGAAAAUCAAAAAGCUUCAUCAAGCUCUUGUUUCAUGAUACACUCCUUGUCACUCAUCGACUCAACCACACCCUCUAUCAUCUCAUACAUCUCGUUGCUUCUCUCACACGAACCAUCUUUCGCAAUGAAACUUCGUAAUCCUUUACCAGUAUCGAUCCAGCUAGUUCCAGGGAUUUUCUUCAAUCCGAUUUUUUUCAUCUUAUCCCUUACCAUCUCAGCUUCUUCCCAUCUCCCUGCUUGAGUGCAUAGAUUCGCCAUGAUAGUGUAACUCCCUGUAUUUUCUGGUUACAAAAAUAGUAAUACUUAUAUAUAAAAAUUAAUUUUAUUUAAUAUAUUUUCAUUUUUAUAAUAGUAUAUAUAAAUUUNNNNNNNNNNNNNNNNNNNNNNNNNNNNNNNNNNNNNNNNNNNNNNNNNNNNNNNNNNNNNNNNNNNNNNNNNNNNNNNNNNNNNNNNNNNNNNNNNNNNUAUCAUUUUCGUUAAUGUAAUAGGAGGGCCAACCCAAACAGAGAUUGUCAUGAGCGAGAUAGACACACCAGAGAGCUUUCAGCUUAUGGAGUUUGGAGUUAUUUUCGAGGCGACGAAUCACUUUUCCGAAAGCAACAAAGUCGGACAAGGUGGUUUUGGUCCAGUUUACAAGGUAUUUUAAUUUCUCUAGCUAUUUGGACCGAAUCAAAUUAAACUUGAAUCGGCCGGUGACUUGUCUUUCAUUCAACUAAAAAACUAAUAAUAAUAAGGGAAAAUGUGAUGGUAUUGCAGGGAACCUUGCCUGAUGGAAACGAGAUCGCAGUAAAAAGAUUGAAAGCGAGAUCAUCUCAGGGGAUGGCAGAGUUCCGAAAUGAAGUGACUCUGAUUUUACGUGUACUACACGUGAACCUCGUCCGACUUCUAGGCUGUUGCAUCCAUGGAUACGAUAGACUAUUGGUCUACGAGUUCCUGGAGAAUUCUAGCCUCAGCAGCUAUAUCUUCAGUUACUCUCACUCUCUCUCUCUCUAUUCUAGAAUUUACUUGUUAUUUUGUAAACUUUAAACUUGAUUCGUUUUGUUUUUGAUUGAUUACCUCAGAUCAAACUAGAAGCCCGCUCCUAAACUGGGAGCAUAGGUUCGAUAUAAUGAAAGGUAUUGCUGAAGGAUUGUGCUACCUCCACAACUUCACAAGCCCACCGAUACUUCACCGCGACCUGAAACCAAGUAAUGUGCUUCUAGGCAGAGACAUGAUCCCAAAAAUCUCAGAUUUUGGGCUGGCUCAGAUGAUGGAAACUGGCACCACAGAAGCUGCAAUGGAAACAGCAGUAGGAACUUAGUAAGCAUCAACAAAUUGUUAAAACUUUCUUCUUCUUCUUUUUUUUUUUUUCACUAAAACAAAAUCACAAUCAAUUAAUUAAAUCCUCUUUUGUUUGUUUUUUGUGCAGCGGCUACAUGUCUGAAGAAUAUGCGAAAGAUAAUAUCAUGUCCCAGAAAUCAGAUGUCUUCAGUUAUGGAGUAGUGUUGUUAGAGAUUCUUACUGGAAGGAGAAAUCAUGAGUAUUGUAUUGCAAAUCCAGGAGAUAGUCUUCUCGACUUCGUAAGUUUAAUUUUUCUUUGUAUUCUUAAAAUUUUAAAGAAAAUUUAUAUUUUAGAGUUUUUUAAAAAGGUUUGGAGGCGAUGGAAGGAUGGUACUGGAUUGGAGGUCGUGGAUUCGAGCUUCCAUGAUGAUUCAUUUAUAGAAGACCAGGUUUUACGAUCAAUGAAGAUUGGUCUAUCCUGUGUUCAACAAAAUAUGCACGAUAGGCCUAGUACAAGGACCAUUGUGGUUAUGUUUGAAAAUGGCCCACGAUCAGAAAUUCUAGAUCCGACGAGACCAAACUAUAAUCUCACAAGAGCUGAUUCAUCUUCUUCUCCAGUUACCGUUACCGACCAAUCAGUCACUAUUAACGAGGCCACUUUGUCAUGCACUGACGCCAGGUGAUGUUUUUAUGUAGUGCGUUUUUCUACUAGUUUACUUAAAAAAAAAAAAAUUUGAACUAUCAUUCCUAUGUUAUGUUUAAUUUCAUGUGUUUUUUCUUCUAGUUUACUCUUUGAAAAAAUAACUACUAUUAUUCAUAUGUAAUGUUUUUAGUUGUUUGGGUCUCAGUGCGGGAGACUGAUACUUUAAUGGUUUAUCUCUUUUGCUAUGCACUUAAUGACAACGAACAUAAUAUCUCGAUAUAAUAAUUAACAACUAGGAUGAGACAAAACCAAAACCAAAACCAAAGGCAACAAGUUACAAGACAAACUGUUCAAAGUCAAUCUAAUCACAAAGAUAAACCCAGUUACAUAAUAUCCCACCUAUUUUUGUUUUUUAGCUGGUGUUUGAUCGAUGUUCUUCACCUGCAAGCAAAAAUGUGGCUUUAGCUGCUUCCUCUUUUGGUGUCUGAAAUGCUUUAAGAACAGAGAGAGAGAGAGGGAGAGCAAAAUUGUUUUACUGGGCCGCAUUCUAAAUAGUACGGCUUUGGUAAUUAUGUAAACAUAUCUUAUACCGAGACAAAUAAGAAUUAAAUUAAGUUAUCCUAUCAAUUAAUUUCAAAACCUCCACUUAGUCUAAUGAUUAACGGAAUCAUUUGGUUAGAAUAAUUAUUUAGCCAUAAACACCAAAAUCACAUGGAACAUAAGCUCAAUUACCUGUUUGGUGCCUUCAACAGAAGAAGUACGACCCCAUCUCUCAGGGGUCCCAAAGUAUGCUACUGUUGAAAGCAAAGCUUGAUAUAUGAACCGGAGGCUUUAUCUCUGUCUUGUUAUUAAUUUUUCUCAAAUGCCACCCCAAAACUUGUGAAGAUUCACAAACCGGCCUCUCUACUAUCACUCGCUUCCUAUUAGCUGAUACCAAUAUGUAUACAUUGUUUAGCCCCGCAAAAUGGACUAUCCCGCUUUGUUUGUGAUGCUCAAUGUGUCUCAACGCUAGGUUCCUUUGAUGAUCAAGCUCAAAUUCAAAGCUCGUGAAGUUUUCUUUGAAGACUAUACGUCUAUACAUUAAACCAGUUUUUCUUAACAUUGUUGGUGAAGAGUUUUCUUCAGCAUCGGAGUGUUUCUCCACGACUAUCCACAAUAAAGGAGGUGGAACUAGCCUCAAAGUAUUGGCCAUUCUCCUAAGGAGCACAAUUUUGUAACGAUCUUUCGUCAUUACCCAGAGUUACAACAAUCACUAGACCUCUUGGUGCAACUUCUUCUUCUUCUGUCUUGGAGAGUGAUCUGGUUUCUUGUUCAGGUUCUUGUGACUUCAAAGGUGCUGGGGCCUGACCUUGGGAACUGUUCAAUGCUUUAUCAACGAGAGGAUUGUGUGUAUAGGUAGAGUUCUCAAAAGGUUGGGAAGGAAUCUGAGAUUUAGUGGUAGUAGAGGGGGUGGUUUCGAAAUUAUAGAAAAGUGAAGCCUUACCAGCAGGAGCAAAGCCAGUGAUGAAACACAUUACAAAACAUAGAGAGAAAUGGAUCACAGCUUUCUUCCAUACCUGAGUUUUCUUCUUUGAUCUCUCCAGAGAUCCCAUCAGGAUCCAACCCUAAGAAGAAGUUUUUCUUAAUUAAGUGAUUUUCCUUUUAUUUUUUGGGAAGAACAAUCUAGUUUGAAGAGUAUGAAAUAUAAGGGCUUUUAUGACAUUUGUAUAGUUUUUGUCUUUAUAUUGUUGGUAAAUGAUUAAAACCGGCGAGCUACGUAGGAGUACGUUCUCUUUGAUUGAUUGCGUGUGUUGGUUGUGUUCUGCAACAACUUGUUGGGAUCAUUGGAACUCACUAGCUAGCUGAAACAUGUUUGGGAAAUAUAAGAAAAUUACUGUUAAUAUAGCAAAUAUAUUAAAAUUAAACUUUGCUUAUUAAUGACUCUUAAUGCAAGUAAUUAAGUAUUAUUUUAGUUGUUGUUGAUGACUGAUGAGUAAGGUUAUGAUCAAGAUAGGAACUUUUGAGAGUACCUAAUAUAGAGGAUAGUAGUCUUCAAAAAGUGUGAAGUGAUGAAACUUGAAGUUGAAAGAGACAAUCCAAAAAAUAAAUAUUAACAUGUCAUCGUGGUUUAUAUUAUGCACUUUAACAAAUGGAUAUCAUUUUUACCGUUAUAUCAAGCCAUGUAAAUACAUACCACCACAAACAAGUCGUUUUCUCAAGAAAGUUAGAAAAGAGAUCAAGCUGGACGAGGAGUGAGCCUAUCUUUGGCCGCCGUGUCUCCACGGUGGAGGCCAGAGGAGAUACGCAAGCAAGAAGAAGCCCCCCGAGAAACGCUCUGUUACUAACUCGGUGUUCUUGGAGCAAGAACAAGAAGAGACAAAGGAACCUCAUGAUGAUGACGUCAUUGUCGGAGAACCCAAGGUUGUGCAUUUAAUAUUCAGUUCAUUUAAUACAUCAGUCAAGUCACAUUUCCAAGAAAAUACUCCACUAACGAAGGCGUCUUUGUCUAUUUUUAAUUCGUUCCUUAACGCGUACGGAACGCGGCCCAAUAAAAUAAUUACUUUAAUUCUAUUUUAAGUCUCUGCUUCUCUACCUUCUUUCCUCUUUGUAAGAUCAGAGAGAGAGCGUUUGUUGAGAAGAUCUUAUUAGAAGGUGAAUAUCAAUCAGAACAUGGCGAAAGAAGACAACCACGAAGCUCAACGAUGCGAGUGCGAGGAUCAUGAGGAAUCGAGUCCUCUCUUGCAAGUUAACGAAAGCAAGAUCUGCUCAAAAGGGGACACCACCAAGACGGCGGAGGAAUAUGGCUGGACGGCGGAUGGAUUGCCGGUGAGCCAAGGGAGCGUGAUCGGCGAGCCGAUCGGGAGAAACCAAUGGAGUUCCGGUCUUUUUUCCUGUCUCGGCCGAAACGACGAGUUCUGCAGCAGCGAUCUCGAAGUUUGUGAGUCUUUAUGUUCUGUCUCAAUGAUUAGUGUCUGAAAUUUGGGAUUUUUUUGUUAAUGGGUUUCUUGAUUUGGUGGAGGAUGAAUUGUAAAGUUUUGAUUUUGAUGUGUUUUUCACUGUUGGUGAGUCUUGCUUGUGUUCUGUCUGACUGUCUCAAUGGUUAUUGUCGGAAAUUUUGGUUUUUUUUUUAUUUGGUAGAGAUUGAAUUGGAAAGUUUUGAUUUUGAUGUGUUUCACGGUUGGUGAGUCUUGUGUUCUGUCUCAAAUGAUUAUUGUCGGAAAUUUGAGGUAUUCCCUAAUGGGUUUCUUGAUUUGGUGGAGAUUGUAUUAGAAAGUUUUGAUUUUGAUGUGGUUCAUGGUUGGUGAAAAGACUCAAAUCUUUUACAUCUUAAUGGCUUCUUCUUUGUUAGGUCUCCUUGGAAGUGUGGCUCCAUGUGUGCUGUAUGGAAGCAAUGCAGAGAGGCUUGGGUCUGCUCCUGGAACGUUUUCGAAUCACUGCUUGACGUAUUUGGGGUUGUACUUUGUCGGCAACUCUCUAUUUGGAUGGAACUGCCUUGCUCCAUGGUUCUCUUAUUCUAGCCGCUCUGCCAUUCGCCGAAGGUUUAACCUUGAGGUAAUGAUCAAAUUAUCUGGUAUUUAAUCCGGAAAAAAACUGAAAAAUCUGUUUUUAUAUCUGAAUUAUCUGAAAUUAUCUGAGAAAAAGGAACCGAACCGAAAUUUUGUAUUAGUCAGUUUUUAACAUUGUUGCCCGAACCAAAAACGGAAAUAACCAAAACCGAACCAAAUUUCAAAUAAUCAAACGGUUCCUAUAUCUCUAGAACCGAAAAUCGAAAAAAAAAAAGAACUGGAAGUGAACGCCAAGCCUAGUUGUACUCUAAGAAAAGAGUCAAUCAACUCCUCUCUUUAUAUAUCUUCUUGGUUGUGUACCACUCUCUGAGUUUUAUAGGAGCCAUGGAGAGACAAGUCUUGUCUCAUAGGCACUCUAGUGUCUCUAGUUUUGGGCAUGUGUAUUACGAGAGUCUCCGUUGCAUUCCAUCUCGUGACCCUAUCUUUUGUUUUCUUUUGGUGUAAAAAACAGGGAAGCUUUGAGGCGAUGAACAGGUCGUGUGGUUGCUGCGGUAGCUGCAUAGAGGAUGAGAUGCAAAGGGAACAUAUGGAGACGACUUGUGACUUUGUGACGCAUGUCCUUUGCCAUACAUGUGCACUUUGCCAAGAAGGCCGUGAGAUCCGCAGGAAGGUUCUUCACCCGGGUUUCAAUGCUCAGUCCACUGUGGUUGUGCUUCCACCAAGUGAACAAACCAUGGGACGUAAGUAAGUGAAAAGCUUGCGUUGAGUCAUGUGUCCUAAAUAACAUUUGUAAUACACAAGGUGAACUAUGACGUUGUCUCUUGCUUGCUUUUGUCGCGUGUUCUUUUCUUUUUUUUGGUCUUUCUUCAGUGCAUGCAAAUGUAUGUAUAUCUUUAUUGUUACGUACUUGGUUUUGGAUAUGGUCUUGUAAUAUUCAAUAAAGUUUCGCAACUUGUAACUCUAUAAACGUGGAGGCAUUCCUUUCCGGCGGAACCUUCAUUGCUCAUAGCUCCAAACCAAAGUCUGUGAGAUCAGAUGUGGUAAAGAACGGUUCGGAGAUUCUAAUGAAAUGAAAGAUCUGUUUUUGGACCGGAGAGAUCAAGACAAAAGUGAUUGAUUGCAUUUAAUUUAUAAGACUUUUUAUAUCGCAACUUUGCGAGUCUUUAAUUGUUGCACUAGAGAUCCAUUGUAAUCAUUGUGGUUAAUUUGACUCCUUGAGUUUAUUAGUGUGCAUGUGAUAUGAUUUCUUUAGAUUUGGUUUUAAUAUACAUUUUGUGAUAAAAGGGUCAAGAUCUAUAGCUUAAUACUAUAAUUAAUGUUAAUUAGUACAUUUGACAUUUUCUUAUAGAAAUGAUUAAAUAGGUCUAUUGAUUAGACGCCAAACAAGACUGGCCAAAUUAAUCGCUGAUAAUUCAAAAGAAACCAGACGAAUUAUCAAAAGAUCUUCUAAUAAUGAAAUGAUUUGUACAAAGAGUCAAAAGGAGACACAUGGAGAAGUGCCCAACUCGUCUGGCAUGGCACCUCACUACUAAGCAAUCACGAUUUGGCUUGUGGAGUCAACGAGCUUAUGACAUUAGCUAGUUAAUUUCCCCCAAGUUGACAUCUACUUUUUAAACACAAUUUAUUUAUUACUUAUUAUACAAUUGUAGAUCUCAUCAUAUAUUUUUGAUAUGCGAUUUCUAGUAGUUUAUUGUAGACGACUGUUCUUUGUUUUCUCUUACUCUCUAAUCUGAAUCUCAUUGCAUGGUCGGCAACAUUUUUUACUUGGAACAUUUUACCAUCAAUAAUCGAAUUUUGAUAUCAUGUUAAUAAGUUCUAAAAACUUUAAUGUAUAACUUAACUUAUGUCCCUUAUACAUUACCUGUUAUUCCAUCACAUUUUGAUUUUGAAUUUGUAAGAAGUUUAUAUUUGUGUAUCAUAUAAGUUUAUGGUCUUGAAUCUAAUAGUUUUUGGUACUGUUAGUUCUAAAAUCAUUGACGAAUAUACCAAAAAAUGUGACAAGAGAUAUAUAAAAGUCCCAUCAAAUAAAUUUGGAUUGGUAGUUGUUUCGAAGUCACUCCCUAAUGUACCAAGAACAUAUCUUAAUCCAUCCCAGUUUUUGUAUCUCUUCUUAUUGACUCCAAACCAUUAACACACACACACACAUACAUACAUAUGAUAUAUGAUAUAUAUGGUUAUUAUCUUUCAUAGCAAACAUAAUCAGUUAGUUCACAUAACGACAAUCCUUCCUAAUCUCUCCUUGGUCACCGGUGAGAGGAUUGGUCUCGGACAAGAGCCUGAUAGCGCGUGAAAAUUGCUCAUGGAAGUAACCAUUGUCCGCAGCCAUCUUCGCCACAAAGGGUGCGGUCCUCGGAUCCGUGGCUAUCUCAUCAUCGAUGACAAGGAGUCCUUUAUGAGCCAUGAUGUUUUUGUAAUACAUAUUGUCCACAACCAUCGGUGUCUCAGGGUCGUUGCGGGAGUAUAAGACCUCUUUUGGGUUCGGAUUUGGAGUAGGGCAACGUUUUUUCAAGUAAAGGGCGUACGUAGGGUCGAGAGUCGGGUCAAUCGUUGGGUAUAGCCGGUGCACUAGGUUAACGCAGUGGACUCUACCCACUGAGUGUGCACCUACGGUAAUAAAAAUUGACCGAUCAAUAACAAUGACAGUUAUAUAUCUUUAUUAUCUUAACUAGUAAAUAAACUUUCCAAAAAAAAAUAUCAUAUGUAUUAUUUAAGUAUAUGGUUGAUAAAACUAUUUUAUUUUGAUUUUAUCAGAAAAUGAACCAAAAAUACCCAAAUUAUCUUCUAUUGAACCACCGGACCGUAUAAAAUUUGGUUUAAUUAACGGUGUAAAACGCACAUCUAUCCUAAAAUCUUGAACAAAUUCAAAAACCAAAAUGUCCAUCCUGGUUAGUGUUACCGUGCUGGCUCAAAUCUAUUGACCUAUGCAUUUAAAAGAUAGUUUCUACUCAGAUUUAUAACUCAGGUACCUAAGAGAGCAACGGUGGCUUCAACAUCGAUGCCGAUGGAGUUAAAGUUUGAGAGAACAGACGAGAGAGAGUCAUUGUGGUUAGGAACUAGAGCCUCAACAUCUCUCAAGUAGCUCCCUCUACUGUCUCUCCUUCCUGUCUUUAUCAUAUCUAUCUUUGGCCCUUUCAACUAUUCAUUUCACCAACCAAAAAAAAAACAUCUUAAUAAAAAUAUAAUUCCAAACUAAUUAAAUUAACCUUACAAUGCAUAUACUUACCAUGACAAUACCAUCUCUAGCAGAGAGAGCAACAAUAUCAGCGCAAGAGACUGUUCCAGGACAUUCUUUCUCGAGUGCAUCUUUGAUAGUCUUGAUAUACUUAAAGUUUCUCAUACCAAAACUCCUUGUUGACUUUUGCUCUGAUUCCACACCUCUUGCUGUCUCUAGUAGCAGUGACGCAUCACACGACUACAAAAAAAAAUACCCAUGAACAUAAAUAUUCACGAUGACUUUUUGGUAAUCAUGUUUUUAAAAAUAUUCACGAUGAUGAUGAUGCCAUGUGAUUAUAGAGUAAAUGUAAUUACCUUGACGACGCAGUCAUGGAAGAGAUUACGGAGCCAAGAUACGGCUGUGUUGCCGUGUUUGUAGUACAGCGUCUCCACUUGUUGUCUGAUUAUCUCUUCCGCUCUCGGACAACUCUCUCUGUAAUAAUUCAUCUUCAGUUCCGCAUUUCCUACAGUUUAGUUAAUCUUUAGAUUCGAUUUAAAAAAAAGUUAAUCUUUAGAUUAUUCGCUUUAUUUACGUAUGAGUGAUUACUAGCCAUUUUAUAAUAUAAUAUUUGUUGAAUUUUUACGGUGGAAAUUAGUUUACUAAAAAAAACCGUAGUUAUUUUGGUUUCAGCUAGCAAAAAUUAGAAAUAUAUUCUCGAGACAUGGAUACACGUGGCAUAAUGUGAUAAGAGAAAAGGGAAUAUAAAUUACCGAUAUGAAAGAUGGAAAAUAACUGUAAUAACAGGCAAAAGAAAGCCAAAAAGCAGAAGGGCAUCUUCACAAUGGCCAUCUUUUUCUCUCCUAUCUUUUUGUACUUUGUUGAUUGGUGUGUCUCUUUAUGUGUCCAAUGUAGGGUUAUAUAGAGAUUCAAGAGACUUGAGAAACUCUCUUUAAUCGUGUAAUAUAUAAUUAAGUAUUUUUAUUUCUUAUAGUCAUAGUGGUUGCCCAUGUUAAUUAUUCUUUUUUGAAAUUAUCAGGGGAUUUCUUAUUCUAGACGAAUAUUAAUAUUGAAGCUUGUAACCACUAGCUAUAUAUCUGAACUCAAUAGUUGUUGAACAUGUGAAUUCAGUGAGACGAGUUUUCCUAUUCUAUCCGAUGAUAAUACAAAAUUAAAUUAGUUCGGCUUUUCACUUCUUUUCACUUUUAAUUAGCCUUCCUCAUACAUGUUUCAUGUUCACAAGAUACAAAAGGAGGAGAUCUGUAAUAUAAAUUACGCUCUAACUUGUAACUAAUUGAUUGGAUUGGAUUCGAAUAAAUAAAAUCAAAAUGUAAAUGCUUGCGAUGAAUAUGUAUAUUACACAUCAACUUCAAGAUGACCGACUCAAUUAACUCCCAAUCAUGCUAAUCUAUAGGUAUUCAAUAUAUAGCAUACAAUAUUAAAUACGGUUUCACUUAUAUGAGUUCAUUCACUAAUAUAUGAGUAAAUUAUUAUUACCCGACUGCUGCAUAAAUUUUAUACCACCGAUUUAGUUUAUAGAUUCUAACAGACUUACUGACAUGUUAUAUUAUUCCAUUUGAAAUAUCGUUACCAGUCUGGAUUCUUUGGCUGACUUAAAAAAAAUAUUUUGCUUCAAUUGUGUAACAAAUGUAGAAGGAUAUUAUAGACUAGUCAUAAAUAUGUAUAUAUGCAUGGCCCAUUGUUAUACAUUUUGGGAAAAUUAUUGAAUAUAUAUUAUAUAAAAUCAUCUGAUGGUAGCCACAAUUUUUUUGUUUAAAUUAUCUGUAACAUGAUUACCGUCUAUAGCGGGUUUGCGUCAUUUCGGACAUGCGCUUGAUGCAAAAUCAAUACGACUGUGGAUGUUAAAAUGGAUAUAUUGACUUCACUAAAUGUUAAUAUCAUCAUCAGCCACUUUAUCCUUCGGCCACUUAGUCACUUGUGAUAUUUUUAACACAACACAUUGGGUGAAUUCGUAUUAUACGCAUUUAAUGUGGCACCAAGAGUUAAUUCAGACCCAUUCAUAGCUAAGCAGUUUAUAAUAGGUUGCCGCUAUUUCAACGUAUCAUUCAUCAAAAUUUGAUGUAUCUAUUUUAGUAGAAAACGAAAGAUGUUUCAUUUUAUUUGGUGUAAUAAAUCUUUAAUGCUCUUGAAUACUGCUUAAUACCGUCAGAACUCAGAACAUUAACUUUAGUUUUAAAUUAUAAUGCAAUUACUAAAACACUGCAAAUUUAUUUCAUUAUACAAUAUACAAAAAAUGAUCAUGUAUACUCUCUCUCUUUUCACAAUGAUAAAUUCCCAUUUUUGUUUUUAAAGAAUUUUAAGGUUUUAAUACAUAUUCCCUCAGUUUCGUAAAGAAUACCACUUUGACAUUUUCACACAAAUUAAAAAAAUGAUUAAAAUACAUUAAAGUUCUUAUUAGUUACACUUAAUAUGAAACAGAAAGAGUAUUUAUUAGUACUUGUUACAAAUUGCAUAUAUCAAAAUAUUUAUUAAUAAUAAAUACAUUUUUAUUUUUAUUAGUUUAAAUUUAUGUAAAAUUGUAAAAAAUUUAUAAUUGAUCACUAAACAUUAAUUAAUAUGUGUAAGAAAUGAAAAUUUAAAAAAAAUGUGAAACAGAAAGACUAUCACAUAAUUUAAUAAAUGUAAAAACUACAAGAAUUUAAGUUAAUAAUAUAUUUACGUCAAUAAUACUUAUGUUUCGGGUUGAUAUCUUAAUUCGUUUUGUAAUAAUAGCACUUUUAAAUCAAUUUGGUUAUAGAUUUUAAAAUAAAUUAUACUCAUACUUGGAAGCAAAUUAAAAAAAGGUUAUAAGAUUGCUUGGUGUAUGAAUAAUUGAAAACCAUUUUUUGUUUUUGACAACAAUUGAAAGCCAUUAAGUUUGACCUUUUUAGGCACUUGCUUAAUCGCACGCGCAUUUGAAAACCACCAAAUAAAAUCAACCCCACUUUCUUAAUAUUAUUGUGACUGAUGACGGCUGUAACAUUCUGGUCUUGACCGUCCAGUCCAUUCACUUGAACACGCACAUAAUGCUUUGUUGCCGAUUCACUUAUUUUCAUUAAAACUCAUCAUAUAAAUGAUUUCCCCUCCUUUUUCCUUUACAUCUAAAAGUCUAUGUAGUUUUUCUAGAUGCUUAUGAGUUACGCAAAACGAUCCUCUCCCACACAAAAAAACAAUAAUAUUAAUAUAUGUUUUAAUGUCCAAGUGUUUGAUUAGUGCUGCAGUUUGUAAAUAUGUAAUAAAACUAAUCAGCUUAAUUUUCUGUUUAAACAAGAAGUUUUGUAUAGAAAGACGACUUGGAUUAUAUUUUUGUAAGAAUUCUGAAUUCCUGUCGUUUCAUUCCAUAACAAUAUGUGUUAAUAUGUUCGUGUAUUAUUGACUUGUUGCUUUAUAGUUAUUUAUUUAUUCCCAAGUCAGAUUAUAUUCGUUCGGAAAAUGAACGUGACUCGUAUAUGAGUUGACCUUAUGAAUAUUGUCUAAGGCCUUAUCCAUUAGAUUAAAAGUUCAUUAUACACUUAUUAUUUGUAUUUAGUUUGAUUAUCUCCAAGGCUACAUUAUGAGCUGUUAGCUAGUAUCCUAAGUUAUGAAUAGCUCCAGAAAGGCCUUAUCCUAAGCUAUAUGAACAUUGUGAGCUAAGCUGAACACUUGCUUAGAUGUAACUUGAUCUUGUAUGUUUUCUCUAAAAGACCAAUAGCCAUCUUGUAUGCUUAGUUGAAUUUGUAUUAGGAUCUCUUAGUUGUAAGAGAUCAUAUGUUCAUCAAAUGGUUCUAUCACUACCAUAAGUUCUCUGUAAGGCCUUGUUGUUCUUCUCGCUCUGCUUUCUGCAGCCUGGUUAGUUUCCACAGGAGGCUUAUGUUCUUUGAUAGCAAAGUGAAAACCGUCCAUCUCUUCAUAGUCAUUUGGUAUAUUUGAACUUGUGAGCCAGUAGGCACAUGAGCUUCUCAGCAAGAAGAAGCAUUCUCUUUUCUUUUUUUUUCUCUACUCACCAAUAACAGAUAUUAACUUCCUUCUAUUUACAACUUAAAAUGUUAUAGUCUAUCACAUAUUUUCCCUUUAAACAAAAGAGAGAGGAAUUAUAUAUGUAUAGUUUAUCUAUCAUAUGGGUUCUUAAAAGCAUCAGGUAAAAGCAGGUGAUUUGCAGAUAGGGCAAGAGUUCUUCAAAGACAGCCAUUUCUUUAUGCACCCUCCAUGGUAGUCAUGACCACACCCUUUAAGUUCCCCCAACUCUUCUCCUUCCUUGUAUUCCUCCUAAAUGUUACCGUUACCACACCACCAUUAGACUCUUGGCACAUUUAAAUCUUUGAGACAUGCGAAUCUUACCAGGCAGAUUGCACAUUUUCUUUCCUCAUCCGUUUGAUACAAUGGGUAGAAUAUCGUCUCCAACAAGCAAGUGGAGAUUGCGCCCUUGGAUAGACCAGUGUUAACACUCCCAAUCCUUUCAACAAGAUCAAGAAGGUCCUGGAUAGUGUCAACCAUUUCAAGAUACAUCAGUUGCGAGACAUUUUGUCUGGGGCUUAGAAAAACCAAGAGUUCUGUAAUUAACCUCGUAGGUCAUGUCAUCGAUGUCGAGCCUCAAUUCUCUGUGGUGAUCAUGCAUAUUCCUGGAUCCAUAGUGCUGUUGGUGAUCUACAGCCAUAAAUCCCUGUUUUUGUACAUCCACAACAAAAUAAUAGAAGAAAGUUCAGUCUGCAGCAGAAUAAGAAACAUGAGAGUCUAUGUAGGCAAGUUUCUGAAGUGUUGGUCCCAUCAGUUUAUUGGCAAGUUUGGUAGGGAAAAAAAUUACUACACCUGAGAUGAAAAUGGUUCAUGGAGAGCAACUUCAUCGAAAGGAGGCUGAAACCUCUCAUAGGAACUCCUGCGUCUCCCUGGGCGAUCACUGCUACGCCAUGAGAUGUGUGGUGGUGGCCUCAGAUGCCUAGAAGGAUAUGUCUCAGUGACAAAAGGAGACCUAUCUCCAGAAGAAGAUGCUGAAUGUUCCAAUCGCAAACCGUUUGAAGAAGAUCUAUAGGUGGGUGUUGACCUAUGAGAGAAGCGGGAGCUAGUUGCAGAUUGUGUUGAAGUUCCAGGAAAACCGUGGGAAACUGUAGAGUUUCUGUUUCCGAUUAGCCCUUGGUGAUACCAAGAGGUAUCAACAGAUGUGCUGUUGGCGACACUUCUCGUGGGAAGAAAAUUAUUUGUCUUUGGACUAAAGCCAUUUAAAUCUGCAGGGUGAGAAUUCAUGUGGUUAAAGAACGUAGUCAGUAAAAAUUUGAAUCUCAAGAGAGACCAAAGUGAAAUUUGCAUACCUCUAGGUACUGGGGAGUGUCUAGGAAAGUUCCAGUUCCAGUCCUUAUUCCUGUGAGAUGUUUGACCAGGAAACUGACCUGAGCUAGAGUGAUCAACAUUGUGAUGUGUAGGAUGAGAAUCAAGGUCCAAGCUUCUUGAAAAAAUAUUUCUAUCUACACUAGUCUCUAAAUCAAGUGUAGGACGACUCCGGACAUUCCUUGAAGAACUCUCUCCCCUGAUCGAGAGAUUAUUACUUCUGUAACUUGGGUUCAUGAGCCACGGCAUGUAAUGAGGACCAUGAUCACGAGUUGUUGAUUUUCCCAUGUCCAACUCCGAGGAGAAAGGGAUAUCUGAGGAAGUUCUGCCACCGUGGUAAUGGCUUGAACUACCCAUUUCAUAGACGGAAGAAUCGCAUGGGGUUUUCCGCUUCUGUGCUCCUCUCACAUUUUCCAUAUGUAGAUCAACAUAGCCAUCCAAUGACCAUGUCUGACUGUUGCAGUACGAAGAAGAUGCAGAUGUCACAUAAUGUUCAAGUGGAGCAGAGAAAGUUGCAGCUGCUGAACUCAUGACAGGAACAUGGGUGGGGCCGCUAGUCCCUGGAUUGUAGUGUAGCCUCUCUACACCAUGACCUGAAGCAGUAUACGCAUUUGGUCCUGUAGAAGAGUUCCAGUGCGAAGAAAAUGGCAUUCCUUCAUUCAACACGUUUCCUGCUGGAUUAACAUGCGAUCUGCUCUCACUGGUCCCAGUUCUUGCUGAGAUAACAUAGAGCGAACAAUAAUACGAAUCAGAAAUUCCGGACACGAUUGCACAGGAAAAAGUAGAAUUAUGUAUGUGAUGAUUAUAAAAUGUGGCUUCCUAAUUUUCACUACCUGAGGGUAUCACCUAUCAAGAUUCAUUUUUGCCCCUACUGAAACCCAAUCUACCCAUGAGGGAGAAACUUCUCAACCUAAAAAUACGCAUGCAACAUCAACGCAAUAGCUCUUACACAGGUUGAGUAUAACAUCUAUCCAUGAAGAACGUGUUAAAAAUAUUGAUUUCAACCACAGAAUAAGGAUCUCUAUAGGAAUGGAGAACUAAUUACCUAAACUCGUAUAUGGGUGCUCUGGGUGUAUAUGGUUCCAGCCUUGAUCCUGUUCAUCAUCGAAAAAUUGGAAAGAGCCAGGAAAAUGUCUGUGCCCCAUGAUUACACAAAUCUUCAACCUUGGAGUCCAGCUAACCCUGCACAGAAAGUUCUCUCAACAUUCAGAACUCAUCCAGAAAAAAAUUUGCAAGUCCAUAAAAAUAGUUCUUAAUUACUAAGCAAUCUCAGUUUCAAUUCAAGAAUGGUAUAUAAAGUAACAUCUGCUUUAGCUCAGAAGUACCAAAUGGUUGCUGAAAACGAGUCACCCAUCUAUUUUCAGUUUUAUAGUCACAUUUCAAGACCAAAACUCCAAUUUUUGCAACUGAAGAACCUUAACCAUCGCCAAGUUAAGAAACAAAGUUUCUUCAACCCCACACAUGAGCAUACUCAAGCUGUAAGAAACGAUUUAGAAUAUGCAUAGAGAACACUACACAGUAUUAGGACGGACAUCAACUUCAGGUAUAAAGGAAACUGACAAUGGUAUAUUGAUAGAGAUUCUUUAUCAGAAGAGAGUCCAUAGUUUCAAUACCUAGUAUCAAUAUAGUUGAAAUAUCUAGUCUCAGUUACCUUUGUCACCCGUAUCUAACAUACUAUACCCUCAGAGCUCAGCUCAUGAUAUCAUAAAAACAAGUUUUCGAAGAGUUGGACUGGAAAGUUCCUGAUGCCUUAAGAUGGGAAUAACCUUAACUAGUACAUAUCUAUCAGCUCAUAAGGGUAUCUUGCAAUCAAGAGUUAAUAAAUAAAACAGAAACCUACAUUUUCUCUUUGUGUAAGCCAAAAGAAAAUAAGAGACACAAAACAAGCAAGAGUGUUCUCUAGUACAUUGGCAUAAGAAGUUCAUUUAAACAAGACAUUUACUCAGGUUUAAGAACUUCAUAAAUUUUACAGAAACAGUCCACCGAGAAUAAGGCAAGAAAGAACAGAUACAGAACAGAUAACAUUUGAUAUGACCAUUUCAGCUUCUAUCAACACAUACAGAACAGAUGCAUACUGCUGGCAUGAUCAAGAAAAUUACAUGGAUGAUUCAACAGCAGGAAAUAAGUUUAAUUUUCUGAGCCAAAACCCUCCAACAAUACUACUGCAGGCAAAUUAAACUCCCAACCAAGAAUACACUAAACUACACAAGUGAAAAAGCCAUCAUCCUUUCCUGAUCAACUGAUUCACCAUUUCCACACACCAAAUGUAAUUUCUUCUCUUCAAGUUCAGAAUCAUAACGGGCUUAGUCCACAGAGUGCUGGCCAGCAAAGGCUUACCACCACAUUCUACUAUUCUGAAGCUUUUACUUAGUCAAAACCUGCCAUCCGGCCCAGCACACCUAGAUCUACUCCAAGAGCUAGUAAGCAGAAAUGGGUUGUGUGAAAGGAUGCUUCUAAGCAAUUUGCUUUAUGCUUCAUAGGAUGGUUGUCAUUUCGCAAGAAAUAUUGAAGUUUUUACCUUAAUUCACACUUCAAGCAUCACUGACUAAUUAACACAUUCAGUUAUGAACGUGGAAUCAAAAGAAGGGUGGUGGAAGAACUGGACCAGACAAACUUCACAAAGCCUUGACUACCAUAAACAUAGUUAUCAGCCAUAAAACGUAAAUGAGUAAAAAACUAACCACGCUAAUAGAGUUUGGUUGACUUAUCUUACUUCAAGUUCACGUUGGUUUCUCAAUCAACCAACAAUCUGCCAAAAUAGAAGGAAAACGGCAGCCACCGAUUCUAUGUAUUACAAAGGCUUAGCAUAAGGCACUAACAUCUGCUGACAAAAGUGUUAGAAUAAUACAUUUUCUCUGCUACAAUUUCAAAUUUUCUAUUAUAUUUUUGAGAAAAAAACCAAAAUAGCACUAAAUCAAGUUUUUGUUCCCAAACUAGCACUCAAGGCCAAAAGUCACAAAAAUAGCACUCAAGAGAUGGGGUUUAGGGUUUAGGGUUUAAAGUUUAAGUUUUAGGGUUUAGAGUUGAGAAGUGAGAUUUUGGAGAUAAGAUUUCAAAUUUUGAAAAAUAAAAAAGUUUAAAUUUUUCAAAAGAUAAAAUGCUAUUUUGGUCAUUUAGUUUUUGAGUGCUAUUUUUGUGAUAUAAACUUAGAAAAGUACUAUUUUGGAGAUUUGCCUUAUAUUUUUUCGAUUUUUUUUUUUUUGAUUAUACAAAGUUUCCCUAAAGGCUUCCUAAGGGACUAAUCUGUGUAGCUGCAACCCGAAUGUGAAAUCCGCAGUGGCCGGGAAUCGAACCCAGGUGGCGGUACUCACAGCUGUGAGCCUCUGUGAGCUAAACGCCCCGGUUUAUUUUUUCGAUAUUACUAAAGAGGAAGACGUAUUUGCUGACCUUAAACUAUAUGGACGUUACUAGUUCAAGACUGAGAGAAACCAUCGUUGCCACUAAACCUGCUGGAUACAAAGCCUAGCUAGUUUGAUGCUAAAUAGGAAACUGCUCAAACUAGCUCUAUAUAGCUUAGCCCCGUCGCUGAAGUAGCCUGAACUAAUCACCGAUCUGGUCUCCUCUUCUUCUCAGCAUCCGAAUCUCUAACUACGAUUCAAACAAUCCAAUCACGAAAAGUCACUCAUGUAGCAGACGGAAGCAAACAAUCAUCACGCAAAAGGAAAACAGAUGAUCCGUCGUAACAGCGUUUAAACAAAUCAUUGGUGAAACUGCAAUCGAUUUGAGCAUAUAUAUACAUAUUUACACGAAAACCUCAGAGCUCAAACGAUGAUCGGAGAAGAGAGAAACGUACCGCUAGCAGCGUGCGGAUGAUGGAGAAAGGAGAACGAUCGGAGGAUUCAAAGAGACGACGAACGGAUUCGUAGAGAUGACUCAGCUUGAGGAUUGUGAUCGGUUGAUAUAUUUAAGAGAGAAAGCAAAUGAAAAAAUGAUAAAACAAAACAAUUUAAUUUAAAAGCGAUUGGGUGGGUACGUUGCUGGAAAAUUUAGACCACCACAGCAUCACCGGCUGAUUAAUGGGCGUAGAUUAAUGGGCCUAUAUUUUGACUUUAUAUGGGCCUCCACUGGAUCAGCAACUAUCCCUUCUUCUUUUUUUGUCACCAGCAACUAUAGCAUUGUUCACAUAGUGCAUUAUGUUGCAUCUGACAGAUUAUGAGCAUAUAAUCCUUGAAUCUGCUUUGUAGAAAGCUCUUAGAAAUUUAAUUUUUCCAUUGUCUUUGCACGUGCUGUGAAAUUUUGUGUUAAUUACGCAUAAAGUUUGAUUCGUUAGAUUUAGUCCAAAGUAAACAAUAUGGAUACAUAGUCCACAAUCCCCCUAAAAUGGUUAUUUCUCAGAUUUUGACAGUCUUAAUUUGAAGACAAUUUGGAAGAUGAAGUUGCAGUGAAACACGCAAGCAUUGCAUUGCUUUUUUCUCUUUCUAAAACCAAUGGAAGUACAAGGAAGUGGAGGUGAAUCAAUAACAAUAAACCGUGUGCAUUGCCGAGAUUAUAUAGUUUGUGAUUAUACCAUUUUAAUACAGAGAAGCUGCAAAUACCAAAUUAAACCAACGCAGGUUUGAGGUUCCUACGUCAAGUUCAACCAUUUCAUUUCUAGUGUAAUUUCUCUAUUCAAAACAACUAUAGAAAGGUCCACUAGACAUGGCAGACGAAACAAUACCCCAAUAACAUUGUGGCAUUACGAAAGUAGCAAAGCAAAGCAUAAGAUAAAAUAAAAGCGGCAUUAUAACAAACCAAAACAGACUUGUUCUUGUUCUUAACCGAAACAUAAAAGCUAAAACCUCAAAAGUGAAAAUAACCGAACAAAACACUUAAUCUCAAAUUCCCUUUUUUUUUUAAAUUAAUUAAUUCUCAGGAAUCUCAACCUCACCCUCUUGAAUCUCCUGCUGGAUAUCCUUGGAAUCUCCUGCUGAAUAUCCUUGGGAUCUUUCCCAUCCACAGUACACCCAACAGACACACACGUCCCAAGAAUCUCCCUCACGGUCCCGCUCAGCUCCUUCGCAAUAGACCUCGGCCUCAUGAUCCUCGCGAUCUCAAUCACGUCAUCGAACGAAAUGUUCCCGUUGUGCUUAAUGUUCUUCACCUUCUUCCUGUCCCUCUCCGGCUCCUUCAAGGCCUUGAUCACCAGCGCCGCCGCCGAAGGCACCACCGUCACUUUCGCCUGGCGAUUCUGCACCGUCAGCUUCACCGUGACGCGGAGCCCCUUCCACUCCUUGGCCGUCUCCUUGGCGAUGUCUUCUCCGAUCUUUUUGGGAGCCAGACCGAGGGGACCGAUCUUGGGAGCGAGGGAACUCGCGGCUCCGACUUCUCCGCCGGUCACGCGGACGUAGACGUCCACGAUCUGGCUCGGGUCAAGCUUCGGCGGCAUGGCUGUCUCGGUGGUUAAACGGAGUUUGAUUAGUUUUUUUUUUAAGUGGAGUCCGGAGACGAGGAGGCGGUUGAAGACGAGCUCCAAAGGCUUUUAUUGAGGUCGACACUAGGGUUUACGAAAUGAUGAAUUUACUACCCUUGUAAACAUAUAUGGGCCUUAAGAGAAUGAUCUUAUGGGCUUUAUUUUAGACUAUCGGUUCUUUUACGGUUUAGUAAAUAAUAAAUCCCCGGUUUGAUAGAACCGGUUUACUUCCGUCGCCUCUUUGCUCGGUGAGAAUUGCCUAAAAUAUUUCCUCAGUUUCGGAAAGAAGUAUAUUUUAGUUACCAAUAUAAUUUUAAUAAAUAAAAUUAUGUUUUUUUACUGUUUACGAUUAAUUUAUGCAUUGAAACCGUAAAAAUGUAUUUUUCUUGAAACGGAAUUUUUUUCUAAAAUAUGGAAUUUUUUGAAACGCAUGGCUUUUAUUAUACUAAAAUAGUGAAAGUGACGUCACUUCGUUUAACCGAUAUGAUCAACAACAGAAGCAUAUAGUUUUGACAAUAUACUGGGAAACAUUUACUUUUUGGAACUUUCUGUUAUCUUAUGUGUGUUAUUUAAUUAGUGGGUGGCUAAGGACCAGAAGUUGAGAAAGAAGGAAGGGAACACAGCAAGCCAGCUGAUGAAUGCCAUUGCUGUGGCGGUCUGGAACCUUGUGCAGUGGCUGCCAUCACAUUUAUCAAGAUCGUUGAUGAGUACGGUUAUGCCAGCAGACGCAGAUGCAGCUGCAAACGUAAGUAGGCAUGUGAUCUGCAAGGGAUGAAAAUAGACAAAACAGUCACUUUGUUGCCUUCUUAGAAACUAACUUUAAACAAUAAAGAGAGAUGUUGAUUUCGUUCUUACUCCAUCUCCAACUGUGAAACAUCGAACAACCAAGUGAUUCCGAAGGCUUCUUCCCACCAGAAGAGCAUAAGCAUCGAUGAUAAAAAGAGACAAGCUCCACAGGCUUUGCAAGCUAACCGCAAAAACCAAACCACUGUCACAGUUUAUAGAUAUGUUUUGUCAGAUUCAUAUUUUUCCGUAAACCUUAGGUCUAAGAGUUGGAUUUUACUAGAAUGCGGUGAAGGAGUGGAAGUCGGGGGUGGUGAGCAUGACGGAGAGGGAGAUGAGAGAGGAGACGAACUGAGAGAGGCGGAGGAUGAGGCCGCCGGUGGUUCCUGGCAUGCCCUGAAUAUCUUUCAUCCUCACUGGCGGUCUAUCGUUGGCUCCGCCAGUAGGACCCACGGGGACAGCAAUUACCGGACGAACCGCCGGUCGGCUCACGUUCAUCAUGUGAAAGUGAGUCACUCUGAUAACACACACACAAAUGAGGAACUAACUCGACUGAGUUUGCUAAACUAAUUUCCUAAAGACAAAGACUUAUUCAACUAACUGAAUCUCUAACACAUGUAGGACUUUCGAACGUUUACCGCAAAAGUUCAAACAGACCCACCUUGUAAGACACGAAACUGCUACUUUGGCUGUCUGAAAAAUGGAAUUAGUGUGGAUUUUUUUUUUGGUCCACGAGUUAAUUAGUUAAUGUGAUGUGUUUUGACAGAAUCGACCCAAAACAUAGUAUUUAAUGUUCCUAACUUUUGAUAUCUAUUGACUUAGAGUAACCGACUUUGAAAGUUAGUAUAAAACAACUGUAGAAACUUUUAAUGUGGCUUACUAGAUUUUUGGUGCUAUUCUAAAGUAUUUAUGUUUUUAUAUUAUUUAUUUCAAAUAUGUUAGACAUAAUAUUAUAACUUAUUAGUACUAUUUUCGACAGUUUAUGUUAUUACUUUUGAAACAGAUUAUAUUUAAAUUAGUAGUAUAUAUUAAGCUAGAAAAACACUCGAAAUUUAUUUGAACACUUAAAAUAAAACUAUAUUUUUUGUUUCUUAUUCUUUUCCUGUGUUUAUUUGUGUUGUAGUAUUGAUAAUUGACUAAAUAAAUACAAACAAGAAAAUGUGAAACUUUUGUUGGUUACAGAACAGAGUUGAUGAUCUUACAGAGAAUUAAAGACAUUUAGUUUGGGGUUAAAAAGACAGUUCUAAUCAUUUACAACAAAGAACUUCCACCGAACUGGAAAUUGUUUUUACUUUACCCCAACUAAUCGGGAUCUAUUCCUUCCAUUUUUAGUAAGAUUAAUAAAAUCGUGAAAAUCUGACAUUUUCAUAUCUAUAUAUAAAAUCUUUAAAUAGUUAUCUAGAUAUAUUUAAAGUUAUCUAGAUUUUUUUUUUUUGAAAAAGUUAUCUAGAUAUAUUAGAUCUUGAUAAUAAUCAUUCUCCAGCCCUUUCCAUCUCCCAGCAGAGCUUAGACGCAACACUUUCAUGGGAAGGUGCAUAUUCCUGCAAAAUGACAACAACAACGUUUGAGAUUAUGUAGAGACCCAGAAACAAUUCAUUUUCUUCAAUUUACCUCAAGCUUCUUCACAAGCUCUUUAGCAGUAGGUUCAGAGACUAUGAUCUCACGAGCAGUCGGGCUGAUGAAUCCUUCUUCAACGGCUUUAUCGAUGAAUGAAAGCAGCGAGUUGUAGUAUCCAUCAACGUUGAGUAAACCCACCUGCAGAAAGUUUGUUUUAGUGAUUUUGGAUUCUUGAAUUUUUCCAUUUGAAGUAAGAAUAUUAGGGAGGUUUUUUUUUACAGGCUUGUCAUGAAUUCCAAGCUGAGCCCAAGUUAUGACCUCAAGCAAUUCUUCAAGUGUUCCAUAGCCUCCUACAAUUAUCGCACAAAAUUUUAGAUUUGAUUUGUCAAAAGAGAGCAGGUUAAUCUGUUACUAUGAUAUGGUCAAAUCAGUAGGUGUGUCAUGUACAAUACAAAACCAAAUAAUAGAGUCCUCUCCUCUCUGUUACUGUUUUGUACAUUGGUACUGACUAUGAUUACAAAAGCAGGAUCUUGACUUUCCAUUAAUGAUUUCAGAUUAAGUGUGGGCCAAAAAAUGCCAUUUGUGGGACUGUUUCAAGUUUUGUCUCUUAACUUGAAAAGGGCAAAGAAAAAAAGUUUGGUCAGAGUAAGACUACACAAGCUAUAGAGAGAGUACCCCCUAAGUUAAAAACAAAGCAGAGCAAUAACCAGAGUAAAAGAAAAGGAAAAAGGUAUAAUUCUAAGUGCCAGAUGUUGAUGGUUAAGGCCUUUUAUCUUACACUCUGGUGACUUUAAAUAUUUAGAUUUUUUUCAUUUCAAAGAAUAAUUAAAAAUAAAAAACUUUUCACAGCAGCUUUCACACUGCAGCUUGACCAAAACAUAAUGUUUUUUUUUGUGUAACUAAGAAAUCAUGUUUUUACCAAACUCUUUUCUUCUCUUUUUUUACAAAAUCAGUCCAGAAAAACAAACUUUUUCCUUUACAUGAACAAACCCUACUUUGAAACUUUGAUUACCCAUUCAAAUUGUUUUAAGAGGCUAUUCUUAAAAUUCUUUGCGUCACUAGGGUUUUGACAAGUUUUCGUAUGUUAUCAUUACUUACAUUGAAAGAACAGCAAAAUUUUGAGGUUUAGAAAUGUUUUUUGAGAAAGAAAACAUUUGAUUGAAAAUUUGGGUGGAUUGGGUUUAAAACAAAACCUGGUAAGGCAAUAAAAGCAUCAGAGUGCUUGGCCAUUUCAGCUUUCCUUUGGUGCAUAUCUGCAACUGCUCUUACUUCUCCUACUGUUUCACCAGUCAACUGCAAAAAACAAUGAUCAUCCACCAUUUUAAAAUAAAUAAAAGGAUGUUAAUUAAAAGUAGUUAAAGGGCAAAAGCAACUUUGGGCUCUUCUACAGGCAAACGCAAUGAUGUCACCGCAAGUAGUCGUAAUGUUUGGAUGUUUUUGAAAUCUCCUACAGAACCCUAACAUCUAGUUAACCUCUUUCUAAUCAUUUUCUUCAUAUAUCUUUUAUUCAGAUUACGGUAACCAAAUGAGGAUAUUUAUAUUUUAGGACACCUAAACUACUCGCAAUCAUGAGAUUUAAGAAAAGGUAACAAACAGGGAGAAGAGUAAAACCUAAGCAAACACCGAAGAUUAAAAUGGUUUUGAAUGGGAAUUUGGAGAACUUAAAAGAGAAAUUAAAUUAACAAAGAACAAUGUUUUAUUUUGAAAUUUUCUUCUUUGAAAAGUUCAUACCUCUCUAGGCAUGAGGGUCUUUGGAAUUAUUCUGCAGAGUGACAACAAAAGGACAAAGUUGGGUUUUAUUAGAAAUAUUCAGCAAUAUAAUCCAACACUUGUGUUCCAUCAGAAUCUCAAAAGACAGUUUUCUUUUGUAUGAUCUGAAGCUUACAAAGUUGUCAAAUAGUUUAAAGUUAUUUGACUAAGAAAAAGUUACCCAAUAACAUGACGACCACCAUUAUGAACAGCUUGUGAAACCAAACCCAUCAAGCCUAUGCUCCCACCUCCAUAGACUAGAUCAAUUUUCCUUGAGACCUGCAGAACAAAAAAAAAAACAGAGUUACACUUUUUUUUUUUUUUUUGUCACAAAAACAGAGUUACACAUUAGCCUAAACUUGAUGAUAAGUAGAGCAAAAAUCGUGUAACAAACCAGAACCAGAAUAUUCUGAAGUUAUACCAUCUGGCACGUUUCAAAGAAGAAAUAAAUGAAGCAAAGAUGCACAUCAUCUUAUCUCAAAACCAACCAGCAUAAUCAAAGACAUAAAUACGUUAAAAGUCAUGUAUGUGUUACCAGUUCGUUGCCGAGAUCUACAGCAGCAUCUUGGUAACUACUCUUCUUGCCUUGGCUGCUUCCACAGAAGACACAUAUUCUUUUGAACUUUGACUUUUGCAUCGUUUCAGCUUUGAUCUCCAUUGAAUAUGAUCCUAAACUUAUGAUAAAAUAUAAAACUUCUCCAGAAAGAGAAAAGGUAAACAAUUUUAAGGUUUCUUUCAGCACAAGAAUCUAAUUUCGCAAGACAGUUAUGAGUGACAAAGAAACCUAACUAAAUCUGAAAAAAUAAUUUAUUUUGGGAGUUGUUUUUAUCCUCACCACUAAUGUUUCCUGGCUCAAGGGUUGUUGUUAUAUAUAUAGUGCGUCAUCGAUUUAAGCUUACUUAUUUUAAAUUACAUUCUUUUUGAUGUUUACUAAAGCUAGCAGCCUAGCACAACAUUUAAUAAUACAAAUUUAGAAAAAAAAAUAGAAGGCUUUCGUUAAAAAGUUUAUUUUUUUGUUUGUUUGAAUACUUCAUUUCUGUUUUAUUCCCCAUAAAAAAAAUAUUUUUGACCAAAAUCUUAUAAAUCGUUGAUUUGAAUAUUUAAUAAAAAUCGAUAUUUUUUAGAUUUAUGUUGAGGUCUUUACACGGGAGAAAUUAAAGCACGCGUCUUUCACUACCCGCGCGGCACGCGUGACCGAAUUCUUCUUUGUGUUAAUUUUCCCUUACUAUAAAAUCACGUACAACAAUGAUAGACUAGUACCAUAAACCUUAUUUAUGGUCGUAAAUAACAAUUUUUUUUGUUACUUGAGAGGAAUUUGGAUCAAACCGUAAUCUCCGCUUAAACCUGAAACCAUGUGUCCAUGCAUUGAUAAUAGUUUAUGACAUGGCGUAGAACAUUUCUUUCCAUAUAAAUGACAAUUCUUCGUAAUGGACUUUAUGGUUAGACUCACAAUCACCCAACUAGAUAGAAAUGCCAUGUUAAUGCAGGCUAUAUCUCACAAGGAAUUAUUAUCAGUUGUGUUCUUUGUUGUUAAAGAUCAUAUAUAUCGUGUUUAGACUUCAUAACCCCCUCUUAUGAUUUCGUAAAGAAAGCUCUCAGUGAUUAAAAAAAAACUGAUUCAGUAAAGCUUCGUCAUUUUUCGUUCUUAAUCAAGAAUAGGAAAAAUAAUUAAUUUUCUAUAUAAAAAUAAGAAAAAUGGACAGCAUAUGUGGACAGUGUAAGAUGGGUACAAACGUUAUUAACUGAUACUCUUGAAAAACAAAUAGAGAAAGGGAAAAUAAAUAACCAAAAAUAACCAAGACAAAGGCCACACUAAUAUUCUAAUGGAACCAUGUAGAUGUCAUGGAUAAACCAAUGAGAUAUAUACACACUCACUUAUCUAAAGAGAUAUAUAGAAUGAAUAAGUUAAUGAGAUGAUGAUGUCUGGGAUAUGGAGCAAUGUGCCAUUGAUGAUUGACAUAAGAAAACAAAGUGAUGGCUUAUGUUACCAGUGUAGCCUAAUUCACCCUCCCUAUGUAGACAACCUUCUUCUUGUUCUUUGCAUAGAAAACGUUUCUUCUAUUUUUAUUCCCCUAUAUUCAUUUUCACCAUCCUAAGCUAUAGUAUGGAGUUGUGAUAUAAAAUUCUUUUAAUUUUUUUAGACUAUUAUUUUUGUCUUUCUCUUUCAGAAUAAAGUAAUCAUUAAAUCAUCGUUGAAUUAUUUAAAGUUAUGAAUUCAGAAACAUAUGCAAAUUAUCGCCUUGUGAAAGAAUGAAAAAUAAAAUUUCUUGUUACACUUCCCAUUUCAGGAGAACCUUUUAUAUAAUCUUGAUUUAUUGAAAAAUCAAAAAUUUAAAACCGAAAGCUGAGAGCUAAAACUAAUAAGAAAAAAAAAACACUAGUUUCGUUAAGACUCUAUCGUAACCCUAUUGACAUGUUGGCUUGGAAUACCAGGAACCUCCCCAACACUCUUAUACUUAACUGUAAGCAAACACUUACAAUAUACUUCAGAUCAUAUAUAUUUGUUUAUAACAUGUGUAUAUAGCGUAUGAGUAUUUAAAUAAGAAAAUAAAAUAAUUACAAUCCCAAGAUCUGAGUAGAUGCAACCCAUUCCUUCUAUAAACAAAUAAGUAAGUUUGUAAAAUAGUUUGUAUUAGUAUAUCUGCAUGCUUGCAUGCGCAUUUUUCUCUUGUUUUUCUUUUUCAUCUCUAGUUUCACUUCACAUUCUUCUUGGGUUUUUCACUUCCGACCCAAUUUUUAUUUUAUUAUAAUAACCAUGACGAUGGUAGUGAUACCACAAUUUAAUCAGAUAAUACUUUCAUGCAGUCCAAUUUGAAAGUGUUAAAUAUUUGAAAAUGAGCACAAGAGGUUUUAUAACUCGAAUCUUUUUAUAGUCUGUACAGAAAAAAAAAACAAAAAGACAAUUUUAAAGGUGGACGUUUGAAGAACAAAUUAUCCUUUUUACAAAAGGUUAAUAUCUGUCUCCAAUCGAUUUUGACAUGAUUUCAAAGACAUAUAGUGACAUAGCAUUAACGAACAUCUAACGGAAUCCUAAAUCACUUUAACUAAAAGAAGUUCAUAAAGAAAGAAAAAGUAUUAAGUUAGUCAUACAACUAGUUCAUUCUGUUCAUAAAGGGGUUCUAAGUAUUUAUAAAUAUCAAUUUUUCUUGGAGUGGUUCUCAACCUUUUCAAACAGGUCAACAUUUUUUACUUCCUUUUAUAAAAGGUUUUUGUUAAAUUAAGAAAAGUUCUUUCGAAAGAUGAAACUUGAAUCCUUUAUAUAUUUACUUAUCAGUUAAAGAAGUUCAUUCAUAUUAGACCCAAUACAAUUUUGUUCAUAAAGGGGUUCUAAUUAAGUAUUUAUAAUUAUCAAUUUCUAUGCAGACAUAGGAAAGGCUCCGCGCUUUCUAAUAAAUAUAUAUAUGGGUUAUUAUAUAUCCAUGCCUGACAAAAAGAAAAUGCUUAAUUUGAUUUAAUUUAAGAUUAAGGAGAUGAAGAUGAAAAAAUUAUUAACCCAUAUUAUUUUUUCAUUUAAGCUCUGGCUGUAAAAAAGCUGAACAACUUUUACCAUAUUAUUUUUUUCCGAAGUAUAUUAAAAAGAAGACAAUAUAUUUAUUCACUGUUUUAGGUUUUGUUCCAAGCUAUCACCACUAUUUUGUCAGUAGUACCAUAGAUUCAUGAUUAAAAAUGACUCAAAACCUUUCUUAAUAAAUAAAUUUUAAACCUUAAAUGAAAAACUUAAGCCAAACAUAGUAUCUCAAUAUUGUCUAUAAUUUCUUAAAAUAAAGGAUAAUAUCCUCACACAGUUUUUUGUAGUAGUGUUAAAAAGAACAGUAAUAGUAUAUUCGGAAUAAAAACCUUUUAAAUAUAGCAUCUACGGUAUUUUUUUAGCUUUUAUGAACUAUUUUAAUGAUUUAUUCUUGUUUUUGUUGUUGGUAAACAAAUAUUUUGAGAUGAUUUGUGUAUUGGAUGCAAACGGCAUAUUUAAAUUAAGGAAAUGCUAAUUGGGAGGCAGGAUAAAAUUCUUAUUAAUGUCCAUCGAAUUUUUUUUAUUAAAAAUGUUUGAAUAUGUAAUGUGCAUUGGAGUUAACUAUGACAUAUUCUUAUUACGGGUUGGUUUUGUCGUUGAAACAAACAAGAACGUUAUAUUAAGUUCAAAAAACAAACAAGAUGUUAUGGAGUCACACAACACUAUUUCGUACAGAAAUGAUACCUCUAGUUUUUAAAUGUAAUUUUUUUCCUACAAUUUUGACAUCUUUUAAAAGGAUAGUCCACGUAUGAGACUAUGUUAUGAUUGCAUGGGUAAAUACUUUAAUGUACAAGACGUGAAACUUAAUGCAAAACUAUCAAUAAAGGUCGAUAUGAUUCUUUAAACCAAAAAAAGUUCGAUAUGAUUCCGACAAUAUUUUAGAUUUAUGACUUUGAAACCCAAAAGGAACAGACAUUUACCACUUUGAACCGAAAAUAGAACCCCCAAACUUGUUUUUUUCCUCAACGGACCAACGUUAAAUCCACAAAUUAAGGAAUUGAAGAAAAGAGGAGACAAAAAAACAAGAAAGGAAAAGGGAAGAACAUGGAUUUGUAAAUGGUGAAAAGAGGGACAGUCAAAGGUCAGAGAGGGACAAAUCAUUUGUUUAGUAGUUAUCAUAAAGUGUCGGACAGUUAAUACCGUUACUUACGAGUCAAAUGUCUCUAUUACGUUUUCACUUAUCACUAGUUAGUGGUAACUUACUUAAAUUACUUUUUCAAAAAAAAAAAAACUUACUUAAAUUACCCUCCCAUCAAUCGAUUUAUAUUUUCAAAAUUUCUGUAUUGUGAAAAAGCCAUGCAUUGUUGACGCAAUUUUUUGUUGUUGUUACUUGUCAACUAUUGAUACGUACUACUAACCAUGUUAUGUAUACAAUGCAUCUUUACAUAAACCUCUUUCAGUAGACUAAAUUCACAUUCAAAUCUUUUGAGUUAAACAUGUUUAAAUUGGAAAAUAUUGAGAAAUAAUAACAAUAAAUAUUUAUUGCCCUUUUCAAAAAUAAAAAUAAAGAUUUAUGGUUUUUAGUAAUUACUUGAACUAAAUUUGUUAAAACUUACAUAUACUUACUACUUAGGCAGAUAAAUGACAACUUUUAAAACAGUUAAAGGACAACUUUACGUAUACAGCAUGUAUGUAAGGAGUUUAUGAAGACAAAAGGAGGAAAGAAUCUAACUUAUAGCAAGAAGAGUGGUGAACGUAAGAUGGAGAGAGUGAACAGUCAAAAUACAUUCAUUCAUUCCUUUGUUUUUUUUUCUCUUUUAGAAAUUAAAAUUUAUGUCGUUUGUUUUUGGGACAUUACCUACGUUCAUUUCAACUCUUUCAACCUUUCGGUCAUCUCUAUACGAAUAUACCCCCAUUUGUUUUACAUUUUUAUUUUCUUUUAAAAUUUAUGAAGUUACAUUGGCGCCUACAAUUCAAAAGAUUUAGUUUGACUGGUUUACACCAUGUGAAUCCCAUAGGAUAAAUUAUAAAUAAUUCAUAUGGUUUCUGACGUAUGCGUUAUACAUACCUAUAUUGCAUGUUAAAUAAUGCCCUUUUCUGAGAUGGUGAAUAGAUAGAUAUGUCGAAUUUUUAGUAUAUGAAGUUGAAAUUAUAAGAAAUAUCCUAAAAGUAUUUGCAUCGACAUUCAUUUGCUAAGGAAAAAGGUUAAAAAUGUCUUCAAAAAAGGGUAAUGGACGUUUAAUAUAGGAUUAAGUAGCAAAGGAGCAAACAUGGAACAUGUUCAUCUCCUAUGAAUGAGGUGAAUAAGUCAAAAAAAGAAGAAGAAUAAGUCAAAGUAGGUCUAGUUGCUGGACCGGUUCUAAGGACAACCGGAUAAAAAUCCAUCUUAAUCCCAAUUUUUUUUAAAACUAAGAACUAUUAUACGUAGACCACAUGGUCCAUAUACUAUCCAUAACUUUUUAGUAAGAUAAACCUGAUAAUGUUUGCCAAAGCUCCUUUAGAUUAAUGUUUGACAAAGUGGUCACUAAUGGUUAUACAUCAUGAAGUCUAAGUUCUGAAUCUUAUAGAAGGCAAAAUUGUGCUGGAGAUUUUUUUUAUAAAAGAUGGAGCAAAAAAUACCAUAAAACGUAGAUCUUAUAAGUCGGUUCAAAGUGAUGCAGUAAAAUGUAAAUUCUUAUAAAAAAUAGAAUCAUCAAUUAUAUAAUCGUUAUAAUAUUUUCAUGGUUUGCAAUAGCAUAGCUAUUCAACGUUAAGAAAAACCAAAUAAUGUUUUUUGGCCAUAAAUUUUCGAUCCGGCUUUGUUGCGCUGUCCACGUACAAAACUAUGGCAUAUAUAAUUCACGAGGUUUGAAAUAGUGUUCCUUUUAUUUGUUUAGUUAGUUCUCAAUAUUUUUCUUUCAAAUGAAUGACAAGAGAAAUCGUAUGAGACGAAUAUGAGAGAUAGGUUAAGAAUCAGGAUGUUUUCGUUCACAGUAUAUAUAAGAAAUUAUUAUAAGAGAUUGUAGCUUAUGGAACAACAUUAAGGGUAUGACUGGUUUCCUCGCUGCCACACGCAUGCGGUUGGUAGCGGUUAUUGGCGUUUUGCAACAAUCACUCAAACCGCUCUAAAUCGUUUCAAACCUCAUAAACUCAAAACUGGCUUCAGCUAGCGUUUGCGGUUACGGGAGGAUAAUUUUUUUCAAAACAAUAUAAACAUAAAAAUAAAAAAUUCAAUAAAAAUUUUAAAUUGGAAUUAUAAAAAUACUAAAAUAUAUCUAUUUUAUAUUUUAAUUAAUAUUAUAAAAUUUAACUUUUAAAAUAUAAUUUUUAUAUUUAUUAUAAUAUUAUAAUUUUUUAUAUUUUUAUAAUUAUAUAAAAUAUAAAUAUUGUUAAUUUAUUAUUUAACUGUUGUUGCAUCUGAUAGUUAAUCAGUCAUAAGUAUCCUGCAAAUGCACCAAUUUCUAACUAUAGAACCAGUCGUACAAAUCUCUUAAAACCGCUAGAACUGUAACCAUCCGCAUCAGCAAACUCCUGCGACCGCAACCGCAACCGAUACAUUUAAACAAGUCAGGCCCUAAGACGAUAACGUUUGUGGGCAGCAUCAUUAGCAAAGAGAACUACGUCUAUUAGCAUUAGAAACAAGUGAUGCUCUUCAUCAUCAUCAUCAUCAUAAACUACUUCCAAAGUGUUAUUACACGUAUGUGGUAUGCCGUAUAUAUAUGCAUAUACAGUUCUUUAUAGUAACCUACAUAUAUAUGUAGGUGUAGCCAUCGCAAUAUCUAGGUGUAUUGUAUAUUAGGGUAUAACAACGAACUUAGUAGAGUAGUAUGAAAUUACCUUAAACUUGGUUUAGUUUGGUUGAAACGCGUAAUUAAUAUCUUAGUAUGAAACUAAGAGUAUACACUUUAAGCAAAUAACUAGAUUUUGAUCCGCGCUUUUAAAGCGCGGAUUUAUUUUUUUAUUUUUUAAUUGACAAAUAUUUAGUAAAUGUCGUAUUUUUAUAUAUUUGUCUUUUAUUUUUAUGAAUGCUUAAAUUAUAUUAAGAAAAUAAAAAAAUAAUAAUUAAGAAUAGUUGAAAAAAAAUUAUUUUAACUUGGACUCAAUGGUCCAAAUGAAAAAAAAAAAGUGAGAAUUGAAUCUGAUUUUUUAAUAGGUCCAAAUGGCCCAAGAGAGAUUUGAUUUGGGCUGGAUCCAAAAAUAAUGAUCCAAUAUAGAUUUGUUAUUAAUAUUACUUAAUUGCCCUUAAUGAAACAUGCAAUGUUAGUGAAGAAAACAUACCCCUAAGGUAAUUAUGACAAUAGGAUCCUGCUUUAAUAAUAUAGAUUGAUUUCUCUUGAACCAACUUGCACUCAAUUUGCUCAUUCAACUGCGUAUUGUAUUUGAUUCAAAUAGAUUGCUGUGAUUUUGGUGUUUUACGUGGUUAUCAAAUGUGUUCAUACUCAUAAGCGCAGAAGAUCAGAAAGCAAUAAACAAGACAGAGAAGAUUGAAUCAAAAUAAAGCGAAGCAGUUAAUGACAGCAUUCAGACAGACAAGAACAUGGUCUUCCUUACAAAUCUUAACUCUAUAUGUUUUUCAAACAAAAGACCAUCCGUGCAUCCAAGGCACAACAACACAUAGCUUAGUACGGUCCACCGAAACUGCCAUCCUCUCACAAAAACUGCUUCAAAGCGCCUGUUACAAUUUCCUUUACUCAGAUAAAUCAGUCUAUGAAGUGGUUAAUGCCCAAAAGACCCAUCUAUAAGAACAAUAGUAUAAGUCAUACCUCUCCAGAGAAUAGGAAGCCAUAGAUUGGUGCUCAAAACUGGCGCCUUGGAGGCCUAGCCUCAGCUUCAGACACUCUAAUCUGCCUCCCGUCCAAAUCCUACAACAGGGUACAAAGUAUAAGCACAUCAAGAAUAGUUUCAUUGAUCAAACUGUCGGAAUAAAAAAGAUACUUACAGCACCAUCCAAUGUUCUGAUGGCAUUCUGAACCUCUUGAGCAGAGUUGUAAGUCACAAACCCAAAACCUUUCGACCUACCACUGUCCCUGUCGUAGAUGACUCUAGCCUCAACAACCUUCCCUUGCUCCCCGAACAAACUCUCGAGCGCCAUGUCGUCAACACCCCACGAGAGGUUACCAACAUAAACACGGUUCCCUGAACCAGCACCACCACCACCACCUCCACCAUAUCCUCCACCAGAGCUUCCAAAGCUGCUUCUAGGUCCUCUUGAGAAGGAGUCUUCCCUCUUCGGUGGAGGAGGACCCGCGUUAACUCUCAACGGUCUACCAUCCAACUCCUGCAAACAAAACCCAAUAAGAACAACAAAACAACACAAAGGUUCCAACUUUUUGUCUUUAGCAACCACAAGUUUUUGUCUUUAGCAACACAAAGGUUCCGACAUAAGGUAGAGAAGUAAGUAUGUUCUUACAUAGCCAUUGAACAACACAAAGGUUCCAACUUUUUGUCUUUAAACGCAUACUUACAUAGCCAUUGAACUGCUGUUCAGCUGUCUCAACUUCAGAAGCUGAAGACAUAGUCACAAACCCAAAACCUCUGCUUCUCCCUGUCACCUUGUCAUAGAUAACCUAAACAAAGACAACAAAACGAACAAUCACUAAAACCAAUCUCAAACAACAACAACAACAACAACAAAAAAGAUUCAAUCUUUAUCUCAUUUCUCGAAAACCCAUAACUCAAUUUUGAGUUUUUGACUCGUUACCUCAACCAUCUCGACGUUUCCGGCGCUCUCGAAGAGCUGAGCGAGCUGAGCGCUGUCGACGUUAAAGGGGAGGUUACCGACGAAGAGCUUGAGGUCAGAAGAGAAGGAUUGCUCCCGCCGCGGGGGAGGAGGAGCGUCGUCGUCAGCGAAGAUGCCGUCUUCUUCGACUGAGAAGUCGUCAGUAACCGCGACGUUACGGACGAAGCGAGAGGAAGCGGCGGAGAUGGAGAGGGAGAGGGAGGCGGAGAGGGAGUGGAGAUUGAAGGAGAGGGAAGGAGGUAGGAGGGAAACGGAGGCGGGUCUGGAGAUGGAGAAAGGAAGGGACUUGGGGGUGAAAGUGGAGAGAGCGAGAGAGGAAGCUGAAGCAGCCAUGGUGAAGAGAUGAGAAGAGAUAAGGUUUGUUUUUAGCUUUAGGGGUUUUUGAGAGUGGAGAUAAGAUGGUGUGUUUCUGAUAUUUAUGGGCCAAAUGGGAAUAAAUAUCUUUGCACAAAAUAUCUCAUUCUGAUUUUUAUUUACAAAUUUUGCCUCAAAACUUUAUUUGAUUGCUAAAUAUUCUGCUGCUAAUAAAAUUUGUCAAAUUUCAAUGAAUUUAUCUUAACGUCAUCUCUGAAAAAAAGUAUGUAUUUAAAAAAAAUAUAGGUUUUCAUAAAUUUGUAGACAAUUUCUUUAGAAAAUCUUAAUUUUCAAAAUAUUUUGUAUUUUUCUCACUUUAGUGGUGUUAGUUAUCUUUUUAUUGGAAGUCUCUACUUACUACUUGUCAUACGCUGAAGUGAGAUGACAGAUGAGAUGAGAUCUAAGCCGUAGAGUUUUGGAUGGACAGUGGAGAUGGCACGUCUCAUGCCAAAACCAAAAGAAAAAAUCUAUAAGAUAGGAUUUUUUAACUAAAAGCCAAUGGAAGUAGCAACUCUCGUUCCAGCACAGAUCUUUAACUCCAAUAAAUUCAGAAAACAAUACAGUUCCUCUAAAGAAAACCAUUGAAUCAUACAAAGGUUGCUCCCUUCAAAACAAGUUAAUAAGAAAUGAUGUAUUUGGAUAACAACAGAAGACUGAAGUUCUUGAACUGCAACACGCUUUUAGGAUCUCUUCAAUUGGAGGGUCAUCUCGAGCUUCUUUGUCCUGAAAUGUUCCAACAAACAAGUUGUUGAGUACGAGAUUGUGAUUAAUUUAUCUCUUUGAUUACAUUGACAUGGUGUAAACACAAGUAUUUGAUCAAAACGUGUUACCUGGUCCAUACUCCCCGGUCCGAUCAAAACAAGAGAAACACCAGAUGCAUCCAUCACAUGCUAAGAAAACCUCAAAUGUAUCACUUAAUGAAAUGACCAAACCAUCAUCAAGAUUUUGACAGUGGGGUGAAUCAUUUUACCUUCUUUUACGACAAGCAAGCUUUAAUACCCAACAUAGUAGUAGUAACCAAACACAUUCACCAAAUCUAAUAAGAAACUUCUCCAAAAAGAUUUAACCACCCAAAAUGACGAGCAAAUGCAACAACAGCCUUCCUAUCCUUCCACAAAAUCAGAAAUCAACAGUCUCUCUCCCUGUUCCAGUUCCUGUGAAGAAGAACCGAUUCAAUCUAGUUUAUAAUCUUUUCAGCUUCUCCAAAACAGAACAGAUUCUAAAACUUACCUGAAGCGCCGGUAAUGGCCGACACUGCCACCACGUUACGCCGGAGAGAAAAAUCUACUGGAGAUGAGAACUGGCCAAAGAACCAAACUUUACUGUCCCGUAAACCCAUGAAUCGUUUUUCAUCUUCUGAUUCAGCGUAACGGGAGUGAUCGUCGACGAAGACGGCGAUGAGAGAGAAACCGCCAUUGUUGUUUUUACUCCGGGAAAGCCGAAAGAAAUAAGAAAAAUCCUAACUUUAACGUUUUAGUUAGAAAAAAAAAAUCAAAUUAAAAAAAAUCAAACUUUAAGUUAUUACACGUUGUAUAGAUGACGUAAGCAUUGUCCGAAACAGAAAAAAGUCAAACGCCACGUAAGCUCAGUAAGAGUAAAAUUUUUUGGAAAAGGUAGAUCUUUUUUAAAAGCGAACUAGAUUUUGAUCCGCACAUCCGUGCGGGUAUUCGUUUAAACUUUUAAAAACAUACAAUAGAUAUUUACAUAAAAUUGUUAUAUUAGCGUUUUAUACCAGCUCAAAUAAGAUAAGCUUUUAGCACAUAUAUAAUUAUUAGUAAUACUAUAAGUAAGUAAUUAUUUGAGGUUUAUUUAUUUUAUGUUAUUCAUGUACAUUAAUAUUUAAAAUUUUAAAAAUAGUUAUUAUAUAUAAUAUAAAUGGACUACUUAGUUUUGGAAAGGAAAAAAAUUGAUAUUUUUUAAUAUUUAUGGAAUGGUAAAAACUAUUUUAUAUUGAUUUUAUAUCAUAUCAUUCGUAUUAAUAUAUAUAUGUACAGUUCACAACAGGUAAAAUUAAUUAAUUUUUAACUUUAAGAAAGAUUUUGUUAAGAUAUAUUAUCAUUUGAAACAAUAAUUAAUAUUUCCAUAUAUAAAAGUAAUUGAUGGUAUAUUUUUAAGGAAGAUUUUGUUAAGUUUAACUAAUAUAGUGCUCUUUUGCGAAAUAGACACUUUUUAUUAAUAAUAUUUUAUACGUACAAUCAUAUAAAUAAUCACAUAUAUUAUAUUUUAAAAUUUAAUGUGAAAUAUAAAAGCUAUAAUUUAAGUUGGUGUUUGAAAUUGGGCUUUGUAUUGCAUUUUUUUUGUAGAGUUUUGGAUGGACAGUGGAGAUGGCACGUCUCAUGCCAAAACCAAAAGAAAAAAUCUAUAAGAUAGGAUUUUUUAACUAAAAGCCAAUGGAAGUAGCAACUCUCGUUCCAGCACAGAUCUUUAACUCCAAUAAAUUCAGAAAACAAUACAGUUCCUCUAAAGAAAACCAUUGAAUCAUACAAAGGUUGCUCCCUUCAAAACAAGUUAAUAAGAAAUGAUGUAUUUGGAUAACAACAGAAGACUGAAGUUCUUGAACUGCAACACGCUUUUAGGAUCUCUUCAAUUGGAGGGUCAUCUCGAGCUUCUUUGUCCUGAAAUGUUCCAACAAACAAGUUGUUGAGUACGAGAUUGUGAUUAAUUUAUCUCUUUGAUUACAUUGACAUGGUGUAAACACAAGUAUUUGAUCAAAACGUGUUACCUGGUCCAUACUCCCCGGUCCGAUCAAAACAAGAGAAACACCAGAUGCAUCCAUCACAUGCUAAGAAAACCUCAAAUGUAUCACUUAAUGAAAUGACCAAACCAUCAUCAAGAUUUUGACAGUGGGGUGAAUCAUUUUACCUUCUUUUACGACAAGCAAGCUUUAAUACCCAACAUAGUAGUAGUAACCAAACACAUUCACCAAAUCUAAUAAGAAACUUCUCCAAAAAGAUUUAACCACCCAAAAUGACGAGCAAAUGCAACAACAGCCUUCCUAUCCUUCCACAAAAUCAGAAAUCAACAGUCUCUCUCCCUGUUCCAGUUCCUGUGAAGAAGAACCGAUUCAAUCUAGUUUAUAAUCUUUUCAGCUUCUCCAAAACAGAACAGAUUCUAAAACUUACCUGAAGCGCCGGUAAUGGCCGACACUGCCACCACGUUACGCCGGAGAGAAAAAUCUACUGGAGAUGAGAACUGGCCAAAGAACCAAACUUUACUGUCCCGUAAACCCAUGAAUCGUUUUUCAUCUUCUGAUUCAGCGUAACGGGAGUGAUCGUCGACGAAGACGGCGAUGAGAGAGAAACCGCCAUUGUUGUUUUUACUCCGGGAAAGCCGAAAGAAAUAAGAAAAAUCCUAACUUUAACGUUUUAGUUAGAAAAAAAAAAUCAAAUUAAAAAAAAUCAAACUUUAAGUUAUUACACGUUGUAUAGAUGACGUAAGCAUUGUCCGAAACAGAAAAAAGUCAAACGCCACGUAAGCUCAGUAAGAGUAAAAUUUUUUGGAAAAGGUAGAUCUUUUUUAAAAGCGAACUAGAUUUUGAUCCGCACAUCCGUGCGGGUAUUCGUUUAAACUUUUAAAAACAUACAAUAGAUAUUUACAUAAAAUUGUUAUAUUAGCGUUUUAUACCAGCUCAAAUAAGAUAAGCUUUUAGCACAUAUAUAAUUAUUAGUAAUACUAUAAGUAAGUAAUUAUUUGAGGUUUAUUUAUUUUAUGUUAUUCAUGUACAUUAAUAUUUAAAAUUUUAAAAAUAGUUAUUAUAUAUAAUAUAAAUGGACUACUUAGUUUUGGAAAGGAAAAAAAUUGAUAUUUUUUAAUAUUUAUGGAAUGGUAAAAACUAUUUUAUAUUGAUUUUAUAUCAUAUCAUUCGUAUUAAUAUAUAUAUGUACAGUUCACAACAGGUAAAAUUAAUUAAUUUUUAACUUUAAGAAAGAUUUUGUUAAGAUAUAUUAUCAUUUGAAACAAUAAUUAAUAUUUCCAUAUAUAAAAGUAAUUGAUGGUAUAUUUUUAAGGAAGAUUUUGUUAAGUUUAACUAAUAUAGUGCUCUUUUGCGAAAUAGACACUUUUUAUUAAUAAUAUUUUAUACGUACAAUCAUAUAAAUAAUCACAUAUAUUAUAUUUUAAAAUUUAAUGUGAAAUAUAAAAGCUAUAAUUUAAGUUGGUGUUUGAAAUUGGGCUUUGUAUUGCAUUUUUUUUUAUAUAUUGAAAAUAUUUUUAUAAUAGUUAUUGGAAAAUAUGUUAGUAAAAAUUAAAUUUUGAAUAUAUGUAUACUUUUAAAUGAAUUUUUGAUAUAAAUCAAUUUUAAAUUAUUAUUUUGAUUUGAAUAUAUAUAUCAAGUAACAUAGACCCAUUAUUUUUUAAUAUAAUAUAAUAGACUUCCAAUUUUUUAGUAGCAUAAGCCUAAUAUGUUUUUUCCUAACUUACUACUAUCUAUGUUUCCAAACAAUACUAUUUUUUUUAACUACUAUCCAUAUUGCCAAACAAUCUCAGUGUGUACUUCAACUUUAAUAAUAUAUAUAUAUAUAGAUGUUCCUUCUUUGCACGUUUAAGGGAUCUCAAGCCGCUUCUCUCUCUCACACAUCUCUGAAAUGGCGAGAGUAUUGCGUGUGGCGAGAUCCUCCUCCUCCCUCUUCAGCUUCGGAAGCAGAUCUUAUUCAGCCGAAGCUAGCCACGUGUCCUCUCCCCCUCCUCCGUUUCUUGGAGCUCGCAGAGACGUUACCAAGGAGAGAAACGUGCAGUGGGUGUUCCUCGGUUGUCCCGGUGUCGGGAAGGGGACUUACGCCAGCAGACUCUCGAGUCUCCUCGGUGUUCCUCACAUCGCCACCGGAGAUCUCGUCCGUGAUGCGCUAGCUUCUUCCGGACCUCUCUCCCGACAGGUUCUUGUUUCACUUUAUGUCCAAAUGAAUCCCAAAACGACGUCGUUUUCUGUUUAAAUCUGCUAAAAGUUCAUGUGUCUACCAACAGAUCUAAUGAACUAGUGUUUGUUUUGUCCUAACGGAUCUGAUCCUUUUUCUAAUAAUAGUCAACGGCUCUCUCCUCUUGCUUGUAUUGAGAUUCUUAUUACUUGAUUGCAGCUAUCAGAGAUUGUAAACCAGGGGAAGCUUGUUUCUGAUGAGAUCAUAGUGAACUUAUUAUCAAAGAGACUUGAAGCUGGUGAAGCCAAGGGCGAAUCAGGUUUCAUUCUUGAUGGCUUUCCUCGUACCAUGAGACAAGCUGUAAGUUAAUUCAUUGACUUCACAUCAUAUUGAGCAAAGUUUUGAAUGAUUAAUCUUUGUGUUUUCAGGAAAUAUUAGGAGAUGUCACUGACAUCGAUCUAGUGGUGAACUUAAAGCUACCUGAGGAGGUUUUGGUUGACAAAUGCUUAGGGAGGAGAACGUGUAAUCAAUGCGGUAAAGGUUUCAAUAUAGCUCACAUCAACUUAAAGGGUGAGAAUGGGAAACCAGGAAUCAGCAUGGAUCCACUUCUCCCUCCACCUCAGUGUAUGUCAAAGCUCAUCACUCGUGCUGAUGAUACUGAGGAGGUUGUGAAAGCUAGGCUCCGUAUUUACAAUGAAACCGUAAGUCCUCUUUCUCUCUCUCUAUUGUUCUUCCCAUUUUAGCGAUGCUUGAUGCUUUGAAUGAUGUGUGCAGAGCCAGCCUCUUGAAGAGUACUACCGUAUCAAGGGAAAGCUGAUGGAGUUUGACUUACCUGGAGGCAUCCCUGAGUCUUGGCCAAGGCUGUUAGAAGCUUUAAGGCUUGAUGAUUACGAGGAGAAGCAAUCUGCCGCGGCGUAGUUCAACUACAACUCCGGUUUAUAAUUCUUUGCAUGUGGAAGACAUGUGCCUAUAUCAGUUUUGUGUUGGAAAAUAAAGAAAACCUUAGAUUGUUUUUUUUUAUUGCCUCAGAUCAGAAUAAUCAUCAUCAUACACACUUUGCAAACUAUAUGAUGUAUCAUGAUUGUUUAUGAGUUUGCUAGUUACAGGAAUGUAUAAACACUUUGGUACACUUUUGAUUAUUUAUUGUUGAAUGUGAUCAAUGAUUGUUUAUGAGUUUGCUAGUUACAUUACAUGAAUGUAUCAAUACUUACACUGCUUGUUACACAUCAGGUUUGAUGUUUGGGCUCUUGUGAUUAGUUUGUUUAUUGUUGAAUGUGUGUGAUAAUAUUGCGGCUGGCCGAGCUGGCUGGUUAAAGAACACAACCAGACAGUAAAGUAAAACAGUCGCAUACAUUAAAGAUUUUGUGGAACGUAUAACCAGCUCCUGUCUGUCCUAGAAUUGGCGGUUCAGGAUAGAACUGUUCCUUACAUACUGGAACUUCCAGUAGAAUUUGAUGCUAAUUGUUGGUCCUAAACUAGUGUGUAUCAGUUGCUAUGUGAUCUCAUAACUGGACCUUAUCUUAUGGUUUGUGCUUGAGGUUUCUGAGAAAUCGCUGGGUUCAUUUGAUUCUUCUGGUUUGACAAUUAGUUUCUUGUUAUGGACACGGUGAAAUCAGACUCAAAUCGGUGGAAUAAGACAGCCUCAAAGAAGGCAGACAUAAUCAUGUUUGCUCUUGAUUCAUCUUCAAUCUCAACAGGACAUUAAAAUCAAUUUGUAGCUUUAUUUUGUUAGUAUAUAGAUUUGAUGAAAUAAACAACCUUUAAAUUAUAAAUAUAAAGAUGAAAAUAUUCUUAAACAUGAAACCGUUUUGAUCAAGAUUCAAAAAAAACUUCAUUAAAAGAUAGGGACAUCUUCUGAAACAUAUCCAAAAAGCUCUAAUGAAAAACAGCAAGAUAAGGUCUUUGAGAUGUAAUGCAAACUCAAGGCCUAGGAAGAUCCUCCUUAACGGUUGGCCUUCGCAACUCUCUCAAUCUCAUCCUUCUUCUUGAUGGCAUAGCUGCAAAAAAACAAGACAAGAUGCUAUUAGUAUUUAGCAACAAACAAACACAAUUUGUGAACCCGCUUUAAGAGACAAGACAAUGUAAAGAUGUUUACCUGUUGGAAGAUCCCUUGGCAGCAUUGAUGAGCUCAUCAGCAAGGCACUCAGCGAUUGUCUUGAUGUUUCUAAACGCAGCUUCACGUGCACCAGUGGUGAGCAAGAAGAUGGCUUGGUUCACACGUCUUAGAGGAGAGAUAUCAACAGCCUGCCUCCUAACCACACCAGCAGAUCCAAUCCUCGUCGCAUCCUCACGUGGACCACUAGCUCACCAAUAAAACACACACAACAUUAGAAAAAAAGGUUUCUAGUAACACGCAAUAAAGAAUGCAACAUUGUUGUCUUACCUGUUGACAAUGGCAUCAAUGAUAACCUGAAUAGGGUUCAAGUCAGUCAAGAGAUGGAUGAUCUCCAUGGCGUGCUUGAUGAUCCUCACAGCCAUCAGCUUCUUUCCGUUGUUCCUUCCGUGCAUCAUGAGAGAGUUCGUGAGCCUCUCAACAAUGGGACACUGAGCCUUCCUGAACCUCUUGACAGAGUAUCUUCCAGCAGUGUGGGGGACAAAGGUCGCGUGCUUAGGAGGCUGAACCCCAAUGUAGUCAACAAGACUAAUGUCUGUGCCCUACCCAUUCACAAAAAAAAAAAACACAAGAUCAACAAAACAAAUACUAAGAACAUAGCCAUUGUUGCCAAUUUAAAUUUUAGAGAUCUAAUAUUCAAAAACAAACCAAACAACACAGAAAGUGUUGGACUUUAAGACAAAGAAACAUCAGGAUCAACCAAGUGUACUGAGACAAUAAAACAUGAAUUGAAAAUUAACAAAAAUAAAAACAAAAAGAGGACAUUUUUUCCGACAUAACUCCAUGAGUUAUAUCUAAUUCAGACAAUGUAACUAUUUUUUUGUAAUAGACCAAUCAUUUCAUUGUAGAAUUAGAUCCUAUAAAGAUUGCAAAUGAGCUAUCGUAAACUUACCGAAACGUCAUCAAAGCUCCAGCGAUUGAAGAGCUUGACCUCGUUGGUAAGCUGCUGCUGAAUCUCAGCGUCAAUCUCAACGGCGGCGGCCAUGGCUGGAAACACCAAACAUACUUACACUGCUUGUUACACAUCAGGUUUGAUGUUUGGGCUCUUGUGAUUAGUUUGUUUAUUGUUGAAUGUGUGUGAUAAUAUUGCGGCUGGCCGAGCUGGCUGGUUAAAGAACACAACCAGACAGUAAAGUAAAACAGUCGCAUACAUUAAAGAUUUUGUGGAACGUAUAACCAGCUCCUGUCUGUCCUAGAAUUGGCGGUUCAGGAUAGAACUGUUCCUUACAUACUGGAACUUCCAGUAGAAUUUGAUGCUAAUUGUUGGUCCUAAACUAGUGUGUAUCAGUUGCUAUGUGAUCUCAUAACUGGACCUUAUCUUAUGGUUUGUGCUUGAGGUUUCUGAGAAAUCGCUGGGUUCAUUUGAUUCUUCUGGUUUGACAAUUAGUUUCUUGUUAUGGACACGGUGAAAUCAGACUCAAAUCGGUGGAAUAAGACAGCCUCAAAGAAGGCAGACAUAAUCAUGUUUGCUCUUGAUUCAUCUUCAAUCUCAACAGGACAUUAAAAUCAAUUUGUAGCUUUAUUUUGUUAGUAUAUAGAUUUGAUGAAAUAAACAACCUUUAAAUUAUAAAUAUAAAGAUGAAAAUAUUCUUAAACAUGAAACCGUUUUGAUCAAGAUUCAAAAAAAACUUCAUUAAAAGAUAGGGACAUCUUCUGAAACAUAUCCAAAAAGCUCUAAUGAAAAACAGCAAGAUAAGGUCUUUGAGAUGUAAUGCAAACUCCUUACAUAGCCAUUGAACUGCUGUUCAGCUGUCUGAACCUCAGAGGCUGAAGACAUAGUCACAAACCCAAAACCUCUGCUUCUCCCUGUCACCUUGUCAUAGAUAACCUAAACAAAGACAACAAAACGAACAAUCACUAAAACCAAUCUCAAACAACAACAACAACAACAACAAAAAAGAUUCAAUCUUUAUCUCAUUUCUCGAAAACCCAUAACUCAAUUUUGAGUUUUUGACUCGUUACCUCAACCAUCUCGACGUUUCCGGCGCUCUCGAAGAGCUGAGCGAGCUGAGCGCUGUCGACGUUAAAGGGGAGGUUACCGACGAAGAGCUUGAGGUCAGAAGAGAAGGAUUGCUCCCGCCGCGGGGGAGGAGGAGCGUCGUCGUCAGCGAAGAUGCCGUCUUCUUCGACUGAGAAGUCGUCAGUAACCGCGACGUUACGGACGAAGCGAGAGGAAGCGGCGGAGAUGGAGAGGGAGAGGGAGGCGGAGAGGGAGUGGAGAUUGAAGGAGAGGGAAGGAGGUAGGAGGGAAACGGAGGCGGGUCUGGAGAUGGAGAAAGGAAGGGACUUGGGG